UCUCUCCACAGUUCAAAGUUGUUCUUCCCCCAAAAUAAUUUGUCGUGUCAAACUUGGAGGUCAUGUCUUCAACUUCUUAAACUUUUUUUUUUUCGCACAAAUCACUCCAAUUAUUUGGUUAACAAAGUUAACAAGCAUGGAAACUCAAGAACCAAAUUCAAAUAAAGCAUUUUUAUUCAGAAUAUACAAUAUCCUCUAUAAACAUAAAGUUCUCUCUCUGUAUAUAAAAUCUAGAAAAUAAAAUAAAUUGUUAAGACUAUUAAGCCUAAAUAAUACAUGUGUCAAAUUAUCUAUUCGAACUUAACAUAGUUACUUUUCUAGAAUACCAUCUUUUAUAUUCUUCAUUAGACGCAUGAUUUAAGCGCAAUCAUCACAAAUUCAAAAUUCGAAACAAAAAAAAAAAUGGUGACAACUUCAGAAAAAUUAAAACUAAAUUUUAGAUAUUUUAAGGAUUAGAAGUAUAUUUCAUAAAAAAAAAUUAUAAAUAAGGACUAAUUUUAAUAAGAAAAAUAUAUCUAGAGACUAUUUUAAAGAUUAAUAUUUCUAAUUAGAAACUAACUCAUUUGAUAGUCAAUACCUUAACAUCAAAUUUUAGUGACCAGUAGUUUAGAGGCUAAUUCAUAAUAUAAAUUAUUUUAGUUACCAAUUUAGAUUGAUUAUAAUUUUUUGAAAUUAUUUACCAAUAAUUUUUAGUUUAUAAAGUGAUAUUUAUAUUGAUUAUUACAGUGACUAAUUAUUUUUUAUCAUUAAAAUUAACUAUUAUUCAAGGAUUUUUUGUAGUAUUUAUUUAAGUGCGUGAGUUGUAGGGUUUUAGCUAAGGAUGAUUAAAUUCUUAUGAGCAAGAUUUUUAUGGUUGAACACGUGCUUCAAGUCAUGUUCUGCUCUUUUAUUAUAAGAAGCAAAACCUAUGUUAUUAUGUAUUGAAAAAAAUAAUUUUGAUUGUUAAGCAUAACUUGUUUAUCAAAAGGGUUAAAUAUGUUUUAAGUCCCUAUAUUUUGGGGUGAUUUUGGUUUUAGUUCCUCUUUCAAACUAAGGUACAAUUUAGUCCUUCAACUUUAGAAAACUCUGGUUUUAAUUCUUUUUACCAAUUUUUUUUUUAACUUUAUUUGUUAUUUCAAAUGCGUUUCUCAGUUAACAUUGAAGCAAAAAUGUGUCAAACAGUAUAAACAAUCCAAAUGCUAUAAUGAAACAUGCUUGAAACAGCAAAUAAAGUUAAAAAAAUUUGGUAAAAGGGACUAAAACCAGAGUUUUCUAAAGUUGAAAGACUAAAUUAUAACUUAGUUUAAAAGAGGGAUUAAAACUAAAAUCACCCCAAAGUAUAGGGACUAAAAACAUAUUUAACUCUUAUCAAAAAUAAUAUGCUAAUUAUUUUGGGUCAUUGAUGAGACUAGCAAGUUGAAAAGUUCAUGUUGUAAAUCCUUUAUUCAUUUGAGUUAAUUAGAGUGGGUAAUUCCACCUCCCAACUCUUAAAAUCUGCAACCCAGAAACCCUAAUUCUGAACCACUUCAUUAUCAAUUAAUAUUUUGCACACACUUCAUAUAGUCUCCUCAAACUCACACAAUUAUAGAUAUUUUUUCCUUUAUAAGAAACCAAAAAACUAAAGAUAAUGGUUAGAAUCAAUCAAUACAUUCAAAUUAUUUUUCACUUUCAGAAUGUAAUAAUGAUUUUGUUCUGAUUUUUUUUAUUAAUUAAAAGAAGAAAGUAUUAAUUAUAAAGACUUUUGGAACAAUAUGUAAAAGCGUAUAUCUAUUUCCCUACCAUACUCUCUUGUGCACUACCUCUCCCUUUCUUUCUCAUCAUCCUAAAAUAGAGGAAAACAUUAAAAAACAAGAACUAAAAAAAAGGCUCAAACUCAAGCAUUAAUAGACUAAAGGGGAAAAUAUUUUAGCAAAAAAAAAAAAAAAAGUAACGAAUGUGAUAAUGUUUUAAUAAUAAAUUACAAAUCACUACUUUAUUGAUCUAUUUAAAUUUAUUGAAUGUAUCACAACUCAUCACAUAAACGUUGUAAAAAAAAAAUUUAAAAAAACUGUUAAAAAAACAUUUUUCCAAAAGUAAAUGCCUUGUUUGAUAAUGAGUGAUGUGCUAUACCUAACAACAACAAUAGCCAAACAAAAAGAAACUUAUUACAACUCAAUUGAACACAUGUUUAAGCUGAAUUUGUCCUCUUACUGUAAUGAUAACAAAAGGUAAAGAAAAUGAAAACUAACCACAGCAUAUAUAUUUGUCAUGAUUGACAAGUGCUAGGGACAAACAACGUAGGAAUCCUCGUCUUGGAAUGAAGAUUUGUUGUCUCUGUAAGGACCAAGCUUAUUGUGACAUUGAGAGGGACCAGAAGGUGGCACUGGCCCUUUUGCUAAUUGGCUUUCAAACGUGCUUUUGAAGUCCCUUAAUUCUCUCAUACACUCACCUCUACUUAAAGCCCCCAAGAAUACCAAAACUGCUACAAGAAAGAGACUCAAACAUGAUCUCCCCAAACACGGCAUAGCUAGUUAGUUAGAUUCCUGUCCUUUCUUCCAAUUCUCCACAACAAGACAAUGGCCAACUCUAUCUAUGCUUUAUGAAGGAUAUAUAUAUAUAUAUAUAUAUAUAUAUAUAUAUAUAUAUAUAUAUAUAUAUAUAUAUAUAUAUAUAUAUAUAUAUAUAUAUAUAUAUGAUACACUAUUGAUUAGAAAACGGUGGAGAUGGGGCAUUGAAUUUUUGUCCAACAAGGAAAACGAUUUUCAACGACCACACAUCAUAAAACAUCAAAAGAAGCUUUUUUGGAAUAUUUAAAUAUCAUUAAAGAGGAAUUUAUUUAUAUAUUAAAAAUUAAAAAUAAAGAAAUUAUAAGAGAAUUUACAAAUUAAUUUAUAUAAUAGCUAUUUUUAUUUACAAAGAAUUUUACUUUAAUUUUUUAAUAUUUUUUAGAGAUUUAGAAAAGGAAAAACUUUUUUUAACAACACUUUUUUAACAACUUUUUGACAACGCAUACGUGGUAGCUUGUAUUUGGUCUGUUUUAAAUAUUUUUUAAACAUAAAUUCAAAUAGACCAAUAAAAUGAUAACACGUGUCCCGUUGUCAAAAGAAUUGUCAAAAAGUAUUGUCAAAAUAUCAUUGUCCUUUAGAAAAACCUGUUCAAAGUGUCUUGUCUAUGAGAGUUUGAAAACGUUGUGGUGAUUGGAAUAUUUUAAUGGCUUUAUUGCAGCAGCCGAUUUAGAAAACAUGGCGAUAGUUUAUAAAAAUGGAACUUUUGAAACUAAUGUUCACCAAACAUGAACCGUAUAGUGUGUGCUCUUGAAUUCAAUUGAACAUAUUCUACAUUUUAGCGACAAAAGUCCAUAUGAUGUGAUAAAGUUAUAUUUUUUCUUGUGAUUUCUUCAGAAUGUGAGUUGUUUUUAACCAAGAAUUUGGAAAAGUGGAAAGGUAGAUUUUUUGUUUAAAAUAAUUUCAAGUGAUGUCGUUAAAAUAGCAAAUGAUCAUUUAUACAAAUUUUUUUAACACUUAAGUCAAUGAGAUAUUAAAGAAUUAUGAGAAAAGAGUGAGAAUGAAUUAUGAAGUAAUAAUAAUCUGUCUUUAGUGGAGAUGUUUUUAUAUAGAUUUUUGAGUUUCUUACAAAUAAAGAUAAAUACAAAAAUAUAAUUAGGUUUGGUUUAAGAUAUUUUGUUAAUUAUAUUGCACUUGUUCUUCGUAAUAAUUUAUUAUAAAACAACUAAUUGACUUCAACUAAUUGACUUUGAUAAGUUAUCCAUAGAUAUUUUUCGAAAUACUUAUAAACAGGGAGAUAAAUUCCCCAAAUUUAAAAUAUCAAUAAAUGUUACUAUAAAAAGGAAUCAUUUGAUUAAAUUCCAUUUUAAGAUAAACUAUUUUUCUCAUUUUAUAACAUUUUUCAGCUCAUAUGUACAUGACAGAAUUUUACCUUAAUUAGAACUCAUAAUUCUAGGUUUAUUAUUGACCUCAAUUUUGAUUGGGAAUAUUUGAAAUGAUCCUAAUUUGUUUUUGUUGUUCAAUGUAGUCUUAAAGAUUGUAAUUUGUGUUCAAUUUAGUCUUUUUUGCAAAGGUCGUUUAAAUUGUUAACGACCAGAUGUCCAAUUGUGCAAUCAGUGAAUGAUGUGGACACUUUAACUGCUGACUUGUCUUGACUGAAACAUGACGCAACCAAUAAGGGACUGCCACGUGACAGCUCCUUUCCUACCCAAAAUUAGGGUUUCAGAUUAGGGGAAAGGGGAAAACUUAGUGGCUUCUUCCUCCUGCAUCGCUCACUUGCAUUCAUGGUUGAGCGUAAAUGAAGAAGCGACGCUACUCAAGAGUUGAUGGUAAUGACACAUUGGAUUCAUGAAGCGCAAUGAAGAUGAUGAUGGGUCUGUUUCAUGGUUCAGACGAGUUAGGGUUUUGUUGAUUUUGAAAUUUGCAGGUAAAAGAUGUUGGCAUCGCAAUGGUUUUUUCUAUUACGGAGGCUUCUGCUGCUAGGAAUUGAAGAAGACGAAGAUGGUCUUCUAUGAUGGCGGUUGAAGCUUCAUGCAUCAAUGGAGUUUGUGAUUUUUUGGUUCUUCUACAAGUUUCUGAUGCGGUUGAUGAUGGUGAUGCAUUGAGGAUUGCACGUGACGGUCACGAGGUUGAACAACAAUUCAAUUUAGGGUUUGAAUGACAGCACUGUAGUGACGGCUUAGAAAGAAGAUGACUGUCUAGGUUUCUCUACAGGUGGGUUCUCGCAGGCUGUUGGACCGCCAUGGAGAUGGUUUGAGAAGGAGAUGCAGUGGCGUUGAUGGAGAUCCACGGUGGAGGAAGGAGAAGAUGGUCUUGGUGGUGUUUUUGGAUGAUUGCUGAAUAUUUGACCGUUAACGAUUUAAAUUAUAAAAAUGAUUAAAUUGAACACAAAUUAAUUUUUAAAACUACAUUGAAUAGCAAAAGAAAAUUGGGACAUUUCCAAUCAAAAUUAGGACCAAUAAUAAUAUUAAACCUAAAUUAUAACUUUUCAAAAUUAUUCAGUAACUAUAAAACUAUGAUUUCAUAAAAAAAAAAGACAAUAGAAUAUUAGAAUGAUUUAUUAAAUGUCAUCAAAUAAUGUGGAAAAUAAUCCGUUAUUAAAGUUAAUCAAUCUAAUUCUGACAGACACAAUAUAAAAUAUAAAAAUUGAAUGAGUUAAUAAGUGGACGCAAAUUAAUAAAUAAAACAAAAAACUAAGAAUGUGGAUCAAGCUUUUACAAAAUAUUUUUCAUUAGCAUAUGUUUCGGUUCAUCAAAUGCUAAAAUAAAAAUAAAAAUAUUAAUAAAAAACUGGCCAAACCUUAAACAAAUACAAAGUAAAUUUUUAUCAAUACAAACAUUAGUCUAACUUAGGUAGAAAAAAUAAAUAAAUAAAUAAAACAUUAAUGAAAGAAUGAGUCAAGCUCACACUGGAUUCCUAGUGUUAAAAGAAGACUGGAUUUCCUAACAGUAAAGGUAAUAAACAUGUUUGCACCCACUGUUGAAGAAAUAGACAUAUAGUGGAUGUAUGCUACCAAAAGCAUGGUUUUCCACCUACAAAGCUUUCAACACCAAAAUCAAAAAUUUUGAUUCCAAAAAUGAUGAAGAAGAACAAUAAGUCAGACUUACACAACAGCAAUAUCGAUCCUUGAUGGCUUUUAUCAAACCUUGAAAUGAAGCUGACACAUCUCAUAAGACGAGUCAUCUUAGUAGUCAUGAAAUGAAGACGAGUCAUGUUUGAUGUUUAGGAUCAAACAAGCAAAAGGAUGAUUUGUUCAGUUAGUUUUCAAGGCAUGUAUAUUAUAUCUGAUAGUACAUGUUCUGUUGUUUGUUGGAAGUCUCACGUCGACUAGAGAUAAGACCAAUUUAUAAUAUAUAAGUGGGAUGCGACCUCAUCUUUCAAACCAGCUUUGUGGGAUUAAGUUAGUCUUAAAAUUCACUUCUAACAUGGUAUCAGAACUAUAAGAAGGUUUUGUCUUUUACAGAAAAUAUUCAAUUAUAUAGAUAACAUUGUGAUGUGUGCCAUAUGACUAAAUAGAAGAAACUUUCAUUUCAUGAUAGUAAAUCUUGUAUGAAUAAGUUCUUUUGAUAUGUUUCAUGUUGAUAUAUGGGAUCCUUGACCCGAUUCUUCCUUACAUGCCCAUCGUUAUUAUUUAACUAUUGAUGAUGGGUUUAUCUAAUGCAUAAUAGAUCUGAAACUAGAAAACAUCUCACAAAUUUUAUUAACCUUGCUGAAAAUUAAUUUGAAACCAAGAUAAUUAAAGAUCAUUAGAAGUGAUAACGAUAACAGUUCGUUUUAAUAAACUGUUUAAGCGAACUUGUAUGUUUUUAAAAUGGUGUUUUUCAUUAAAAAAAAAUGAAUCAACAUGUGUAACAUUGUUUAAAACUAUGAACUAAAAUUAAUGCUUUUAAAAGUAAAUGGAUUAAAAAAAAUCAAAGUCUCCAAUAUAAACCAUUUUCAAUUUUUCAUUUUUAGGAAAAAAACAUAUUUAAUCUAAAAUUAAAUUAUAUAUUUAAUUAAAUAAUUUAUAAAAUACAAUACCUAAUAAAAAUAUUCAUAAUUUAAAAAAUAAUAAUUAAACUAACAAGAUAAGAAGAAAAUUCACGUUUGACAAAAAAAAAAGAAAAGAUAACCUGAUCAUACUUUUGAGUUGAUUUUCAAUAUGUAUUUCUAAAUCUCAUUAUGCUUUGGUGAUUAAAUAUUAUUUUAUUACUAUUUUUCAUAUUUUUAGUUCAUUCUAUGUCAAAUAGAUUUUUUUUAUGACAAUUAAAUAUUUGUUAGAUAUAAAUCUAAUUUAUUUUUCAAAUAUAAUAUUCAAUAUUUAAAAAUACUUUUUCUCAUUUAUAUUAUUUAUUUUAACUUUGUAAUAAUAGUUUUUAAGGUUUUAUUAACAUAACUUAAUUUGUAGGCUUAAUAAGUUCCAAUUUUUGUUAGCUUUCUUUGAAAUGAUUCUAAUUUUUUUUAAAUGCUUAAUGUAGUUCUAAAUAUAGUAAUUUGUGUUAAUUUAGUUCUUUUUGCAAACGCAGUUUCACCAAUCAGUGAAUUACAUGGCAGUUAUUGGCUGACGUGACUAGGACUAGAGUUGACUAAGGAUGGUCAUGCCAAUGAGGGCUUCACAUGUGGAAUCCUUUCUUCAUCCAAAAAUUAGGAUUUCAUAUUUGCAUCUAUAUAUUGGGAAAAACUUGCUGAGAAAAAGAAGGAGGUGAAUGAAGAAGGCGUAAUGAAGAAGCUUGCGGAGAGGUGUUGGUGUAAUUUGGGUUUGGAUUUUUGCGAUUUCGGUUUUUCUCGCAAGAGGUUGAUGAUCAUGUUGGUGGCUCUUCACCGUUGCGGCACAAAUCGCGCUUCUAGUUUGAAGGAGAUUUUUGGUUCUGUGCAUUUUGAUUUUUUGUGUUUCAGGUUGGUGGUGGCUGGUGGAGAAUGAAGAAACUUCACGACGUUGCUCAAAGGCGCGAGGAUCUUGCGAUUCGGUUUUGCGAUGCUUGUGGUGGAACAUUUGGAAUAGCGACACGACCAUCUUGUUAGGGUUUCGAAAUGUCUGAUGAUGGAAGUGCGAAGUGGUGGCUGGUCGUGAGCGUGGCAACGACGGUUAGGGUUAGGUGGUGGCUAGGGUUUCUGUGUAGGGGGAAAUUAGGGUUUCUGAAGGUAGGAGAUGAUGAUAACGUGUCAAGGGUGAUGUGUCACUGAUUGCACAAGUGGAUAUUUGGCCUUUAACAAUUUAAAUGACAUUUGCAAAAAGACUAAAUUGAACACAAAUUAUGAUCUUGAGGACUAAAUUGAACAUUUAAAAAACAAUUAGGACCAUUUCGAACAAAAUUGACAAAAAUUAGAACCAAGGUAUUAAACCUAAUUUUUAAUAACAUAAUCCAACAUAAUUUAUGUUUUUAAUGCAUUAUUUAUUUUAAAUUUUAUCAUGAAUAAUUAUAAUGUAGUAUUUUUUUUCUUAAUUUUUAUGUUCAUUACAUUAUUUAUAUAGAUAAUUAUUUAUAAUAAAAAUUUUAUUAAAAAUUAAUUUAAAAAACCUUUUAAUAUUAAUUUAAAUUAAAUAUUUUUAUUUUACUAUUUAAAUUGUUUCUAAUUUAAUUCAUUAUUUAGAAAAUGAAAGACCAAAUACAAAAUUUAAGUUUUUAAUUCUAUUAAUUAUUUAAAUUGUUUCCUUUUUAUUUUUGAAAGGAAAAGCUAGUUAAAGAACUUAUUAUCUUGCAUAUUAAACAAAUGUGCUAAUUUCGAACAAAUUUCAUUUUAUUUUGCUUCCCAAUAAUAUAUUCUUCUUCUAUAAUUUUAAAACAAUAAGAAUAAAAAAUAUUCCCCUGCAUCCCAGAACAAAGUAAGCAUACACAGUACACAGUCACACCCUUCUCACAAGAGUAGCUUUGUCACGCAAAGAAUGAGCUUUUCCAUUUCAGAAUCAGAAUAAAAAUUUCAACUUCCCUUCAUAGCCUUUCUGGAAAAGAAGAUCCAAAAGAAAAGUUGAUGCUAAAAUACACACACUUUUUUAUUCUAAUGUUGCGUGAAACACUACUCAGUUUUCGCAAUUCAUGAAGAGAGAAAAAUAGCCUCAAGUCGCGUUUAAAAAUGGCUAUAAGUUGCAGCGUUCAAGGGUUUCCAUUACAAACUGCUUUUCGCACCGCAGCGUUUGCACCUGCGUUAAGGUAUUCUUCUUCUUCCCCUUGUCCUAUAGCAAAACGCAGCGUUUCAUUUCACUGCUUUUGAAUUGUUGUAAGAAACAUGUCUCUCUCUGAAACAUUCUCAUGUUUUUUUUUUUUUUGGUGAAUUUGUUAUAGCCUCCCACUUAAACUUCCACCGCAAUCACUUUCAAAACUCGGGUAAAAAUGAUUUUUUACUUUUCCUAGAAAAAAAUAAAAUAAAAUCUCUGACUGAAAAUGGCUUAUGCAUGAAUUAAAAGUAAAAUUUAUAGAGAAUAUAGGUCAAAAAUUUUAUAAAUUAAGCUAAUUAUUUUUUCUCUGUUUCCAAAAAGUCAUACCCUCUACCAUUGAAUAUUGUCUGUCCUUUGUGAAAAGGAUCUUAUAAUAUUAGUUAUAAUUCUGGAAUAGGGUAUAGAGAGAAGUGUUGUGUGUUUGUUGAUAUUUCAAAAUAUUGAUGUGUCUAUUUAAUUAAAAUUUUAAAAAUCUUUUGAAUUUUAUUUAGAUUUUAUCCUUAAAAACUUAGAUAUUUUAGCUUACUUGUUGUACUUGACUUGUCUUAGGUGGUUUUAAAAAGUCUAUGUUUUCCAUUAUAGAUAUAUGUUUCUUGUGUUUUGAUGAGCUCUGGUAUCGUGUUUUUAUGGUUUAAGAAAUUCUUAUCUUACCACUAAUAUGAAAAUAGUUUUAACCCUGUUACCUGUUUAAUUGUGAUAACAACUUAGAUCUAAGUGGUUAUACAGGAAGUACUUGUUCAAUAAGACACUAAUGCAACUGUUUUUCUAAACAAAUCCUAAAUGCAUGGAAACUCACUAAAGAGUGUGUUUGUUAAUCAUCGUAGAUGGUAGUUUUUUCAUGUGCCACUUUAUACACAUUAUGUAUUUUUUGAUAAAAUUGUUUUUAAUCAUGUACAACUGCAGGACGGUUGUUAAAAUGUCUGCAACUGCAGGCUCUAGGAUAUCAUACGAGUCCUUGGCCAUAAAGCCCCCUGAGCACCCAACUUAUGAUUUGAAGGGCAUUAUCAAGUUAGCGCUUGCAGAAGAUGCUGGGGAUCGAGGUUUAUUCCUGUACUUUUCAUGUUUUAUGUCUUUUACUAGCUGCCAUGUUUCUUCUUCAGUUUUAAAUCUAUAAUUCACACUUUGAAUUGUUAUUCUUCAUUGAUUAUUAUAAGAAAAUGUGAACUCUUCCAUGCUGUUGGGCUUGUGCAGAUAAAUGAUACUGUACACACAUUUUUAUUUGGUAGAUAUUGUUCAAUAUAGUGAAAACUAUGUAUGAGAGUAAUUUUUCUAGUGUUGAAUAUACACUUUAGAAUACUCUAUUUAUAAUGGAAGAGAAAUGAAAUAAGUCCAAAAUAUAAAUAAGAAAUAAUAACAAUAUAACUAAAGAUUAAAGAUAAGAUAUCUAUAUAAAAUAUCUAAUAAUCUAAUAUAUCUAACACUCCCUCUCAAGCUAGUGCAUACAAAUCGUAUGUACCAAACUUGUUACUAAUAUAAUCAAUAAUUAGUGAAUAUCUACUUUUCGACUCGAGUGACAUCAAAUUGUUAAUGAAGGACUUGAAGAUGCAUCAAAGGGAGGAGAAGUGAAGGUUUUAUUCACUUGGAGUAAGCAAGCCUCGCCCAACGUAUUUGGAGACUCGCCCAACAAUGCGACGCUCAGCCUAAACCCGCACAUGCCCAACCCUAGCGGACAAACACGGCUCUCCACAUUUUCUGCCUUUUUUUCCAUGUGACUAAUGCAUGAAUUAUCUGACUAUCCAUGUGGCAUUUGUUCUAUGUAUAGUGCCUGGAAAUCAGGGGCACCCUAGGCUGACAGAGGAGGGUUGAAUGCACCUAUAAAUUCACCUCCUCCCCCUCUUGUAAAUCACUUUGAGAUGAUAUAGAGAAAUGAUGUUGAGAUGACUCUAGCUCUUUCCCUUUGCUCUUAGUAACCGGCCUGAGUGAGUUCUACCCUCCUCUAGCCUCCUUCCAUUGCUAGCCUAGCUUGCCUGCAUUGAAACACACCUUACACCACCAAAACACUUCAAUCUGAGCCACUCCUUUACUAUCUUCAUUGUUCCGUUGCUUCCAUGUUGUUUCUGCAUAGUUUAAGUUGUUCCAUAGCUCCAGUUCUGCCCUUGGAUGGAGUUAUCAAAAUGGGACGUGCGACCACACACGACGAACCUGAAAGAGGAAAAAGAGCAACAUCGACGCUUGAAUUGUUGUUUGAGAGGAGACGGGACACCACCAUGCACGACAGAAAAGGGAUCAAAUCUACAACUUCGAAAGGUGCUGAGAGCGCGUAGGAGCUCCAAUGAAGGUAUUAUUGAAGGCACGGUGGUCGCCUAGCUAAGACGAUCAAAAUUGUGUGCUUUCCGUUGAAACUAGAACUCCAGCAGUGGAGGCGAUAGACGAUGCCGCCGUCGGCAGCCACGACAGGUGCCAGAGUGAAAAUUUUUUUUCCUAAAGAAAAGCUUGGGCUCUAAUACCUUGUUAAAUAUAGUGAAAAACUAUAAUCUCCCUUGUGUCUAAAACACACAUAGGGUAAUAUAUUUAUAAUGAAGAAUUAUACAAAUAUAUAUGGCAACUAAACAUCAAUAUGGUAAAUAGAAGAUAUUGUUAAAAACAAUAUCAACAAUACCUACUUAUAUCAAACAAUAUCAAAAGUCUACGUUUCCCAAAUUAACAUAUAACGUAAUGUAUCUAACAUCUAUGAUUCUCUAAUUAAAAUAAAACACAAAAAAUUUAACAUAUAUAAUGCAUUCAUGGUAUCUGUAUUAUUUCAAUUGUAGGUGAUGUAACAUGCAAGGCCACCAUUCCGUCUGACAUGGCAGUGGAAGCUUAUUUUUUGGCAAAGGAGGAUGGCAUCAUUGCUGGAAUUGCACUUGCGGAGAUGAUAUUUCGUGAGAUUGAUCCUUCUUUGAAUGUAUAGAAGCAAUUCACAGAAUGUCAAUCAUUAUAUAUGUGUUCAAUCAUUAUAUAUGUGGUUGGCUAAAUCAAUGUAAUAUUACUUGCAAAUAUCAGGUGGAGUGGUGUAGAAAUGAUGGAGAUUUUGUCCAUAAAGGCCUACAGUUUGGAAAAGUUCAUGGUGAGAUAAUUAUUAGGAAAUCAAAAUUGCAAAAGCAAGUGGAAUGAAAACAUUAUUCAUUUCUAUUUAAUUCAUGAACGGCUUCUAUUGAUUCUCAAUAAGUUGUGGACAGGACGGGCACAUAACAUUGUUGUAGCUGAAAGAGUAGUACUAAACUUUAUGCAGAGGAUGAGUGGUAUUGCAACUUUAACUAAGGUAAUCUGUUGUUUACUUUAUCCUUUUUCUUUUGUUAACUAUUCUUUUCUAUGCUUGCAACUACCUAACAGAAUAAGACAGAAAUCGUAUUUAACACAGUUACCUAACACUAUAUUCUGUUAAAGGUCUGUAAGGCUAUUUAAAAAGUUUGAUAUCAAUUAUUGGAAGUGUAGAGAAUAUUGGAUCAUAUUUGCAAAAUGGCUGAAUUGGAUAGAUUUCUGAAGAUGAUUUACUUGGGUUUGUUGCUUUUGUGUUGAGCAUAGUUGCUAAUAUCAUGCCAUUAUGACUGCUAUAGUGUUCAAUGGCAUAGGUUCUUGCACUAUGAUGCAUGUAUAAUGUGUCAAUUGGUUGAUUGUUGCUUAAUAAAAAAUAAUAGUCCAGUACUUUACGAGAUGAAACAACAAGUCUUUCAUUUCUUGGAGAUGAGUCCUUCCAAGUCUGGGAACAUAAACACAUAACAAUGAUUAAUCAAAAAAUUGAUUAGCUGUUUUGGGAGCAUAGUUAUCUUCUCAAAUGGUGUUAGGAGAAGAGGAAAUUGAAGAAGGGGGAAGAGGAAAUCGGAGAUGAGGAAAAAUGAAAUUGGAGAUGAGGAAAGAUGAAAUCGGGGAAGGGGGAAGAGCAAAACGGAGAAGGGAGAAUAUCUACCCGUAGUAACCUCUUUUAGUACACAACACCUAAACUUGCCAUAUCAAUGGUGAAAAAUCUAAACUUGCCUGUCCUCAGUUUAAAUGCUGAUAGGUAUUCAGACCUAUAACGAAGAAUCCCUUAGAUUCUUGGGAUCUUUAUUCAAACAACACAAAAGAAUUUCACCAAUGUGGAGGAACCCAACACAGAUAUGGAAAAUAACUUGACUCAUGAAUUCAGAUUGAAUAUAAUAUAUAGCACUGUGUUACCUUUUACUGGCCCAGUAAAUAGAGAAAUUAUCCUUUAUUAUCUUAUAAUUCUUGAUUGCUUUACAGAUUGUGUUUUUCCACAGGCAAUGGCAAAUGCAGCAUACCCUGCAUAUAUGUUGGAGACUAGAAAAACUGCUCCAGCUUUACGUUUAGUGGAUAAGUGGGCGGUCUGGCCUUUGGAUCACUUCCUUGCAAUUAUUAAUCUUAUGCUUUAAAGCAUAAAGUUUACUCAAUAAACGACGAACAUUUGCUUUUACAGGUAUUAAUUGGUGGAGGUCGGAAUCAUAGGAUGGGUUUGUUUGAUAUGGUGAUGAUAAAAGAUAAUCAUAUAUCAGCAGCUGGAGGUGUUACAGGUGCCCUUAAAGCUGUUGACCUGUAUCUGGAGCAAAAUAGUCUUCAAAUGGAGGUUGAGGUAGUGUUCUCUCAUUGUUUUACUCAUUUCUUUUCCUUUUUCCAUUUCUUUGAAAGUUCACGGAAAUUGUUUUGCCUGCCAGGUUCCAACUGACUUAUUAGUGAUGUGCUAUAGGAUAAUUUAAUAACUAUUUGUGUAACAAAUUAUUUGUUGAUGCAUAAACUAUAUGAUGGGGCCAUAUCUUACUGAUAAGUAUUAAUGGAGAUAAAUCAUUACAAAAGAGAAAAUCCUGCUUUAUCACACUGAAAAACAAAAAAGCAUGGAUAAAAAGAAAUACUUGGUGAUUGUUGACGGUCUACUUCCUUCCCACCCUAGUGCCAUAACUCCUUAUUGAAUGAUUGAUCGGUUUCCUUUCGUCCCCUAGCCAGCCCUUUUAUCAUUUCCCUUACCAGAUUUCACAGCUCUGUUGUCUCCUUUCGUACCUGUCACAUGAGUAGUUGUUACAAUUGAAAUUCUUGUCCUUACGGCCUUUGUAACCGUGUAAUGAUGAUACUCUGUCAGGAACCAAGGGGAUGAAUAUAACAAUGAAUAGAAGAGAAACGCUCUAAUUCCCUUCACAAAAAUCAGUUUACAAUGACAACAAAUCACAAACUCUGUUAUCCUUCUCCCCUUUACUUAAAUCUAACUAACCCGUUAAACUGAUUAACUAACUGUAUCAUUUAUAUUCUAACUGCCGUAACUAAUUCCCCCUUCUUAUAUUCUAACUGCCGUAACUAAUUCCCCCUUCUUAUAUUCUAACUGCCGUAACUAAUUCCCCCUUCUUAUAUUCUAACAUGCUCUCAUCCAAAAUUCUCCGUGUUAUCAGUGUGAAGGUUUGGGUACAUGUCUUAUAACAGUUGACGUAACUUCAGAGGUCUCCCAUUUGUGUUUUUUCCAGGUUGAGACCAGGACUCUUGAGGAAGUGGAAGAAGUGUUACAUUAUUCAUCCCAAACAAAGACUUCUUUGACUCGAAUUAUGUUAGACAAUAUGGUUGUACCUCUACCUAAUGGGGAUGUGGACAUAUCCAUGCUUAAAGAAGCUGUGCAGUUGAUCAAUGGGCGAUAUGAGACUGAGGUAUUCACGAUCACUACUAAAUUUACUUAGUUAAUCUUUACAGUAUAUUUUGAAUUAUUUGUUAGAAAAAACGAUGCACAAUAGUUUGGUACGGAUUUUAUAUCCUUUUUUAUUUCUAUCAUUUUUCUUCGUUUCUGUCAAGUUAUUGAUGAACGAGCAUGCUUUCUCAAUUUUCUAAUUAUCUAAAGACGUAUAUGGAAAUAUGCUAAGCGAUAUGUAAAACAAAUUAAGGGUUUGCACUUAUACCUUGAGGUAAAUUUAUUUAUGGGUUCAUGCAGUAAAAGAUAUUGUUUAGGUUGUUGCCAGCUUGCGUAGUCAUACUCCAUAUUUACUUUGGACUAGUUAGCUUCUUUUGCAUUAUUGGGAUCAUUAUUAAUUUGGACUACUUAAUAAUUUCAGAAUCUCAGGUAUUUUGUGGAUACCAUAAAUUUUGGAUGAGGAUAAUUCUAGUUUCUAAUUUCUAGUUUCAUUUUUGGAAUCUCAGGCAUCAGGCAAUGUCACACUAGAUACUGUACAUAAAAUCGGGCAAAGUGGAGUGACCUACAUUUCUAGGUAAACUUUUAAGUUUGGUAGUUCCACAUCAUUUCAUAGUAUAUAUGGUAUUAUGACCUCAUUUAGAGUUAUUCUGCUUUUGGAACUUGUGUCUCAAGUAGUGAUGUUUCAGAUUGAAAUGUUUCACAAUUUGUAAACAAAUUGAUUCCUUCAAUGAGUUCCUUUUACUUCACAUCUGAACUAUUUUUUAGUAAGCAGGUUAGCCUAACCCUAUCCAUAUAUAUGCAGACCAAAACAAGAUUGACCCAUUUAUCCAAUCUAAAAAAAAAAAUCAUAUUUGAAGAUCUCAAUAUCUAAGCUUAAUAUAAAUAAUACAUGGGGUUCAACUCUUCAACAAUCAUGGCCAAUGAGUCAACAAAUAUCCUGUUUUUAUAGAGUACAAUCUUCUGCAUCAUGUAUGUGGGAAUCCCUUUCUUGCAUUUUUCAAGCAAAAUAAUUACUAUGGUUUUUUUCUAUUUUGGUAUAGCAUGGUUGCAAUUGUUUAAGAAACUUUUUGUUGUAUUUCCUGAAAGUGAAAAUUUACCAUGCUUGUGACUUGUUUUGUGGCAGUGGUUCAUUGACCCAUUCAGUGAAAGCACUAGACAUCUCUCUCAAAAUAGACACCGAAUUAGCACUCAAAGUUGGAAAGCGCACUGGACGAGCUUGAUUAGUCUCUUCUUACGAUUUUAUCAUCUAUCAAUACAUGUAUGCUUUCUUUGAGCUGGUUCUCAUUCUGUUGCAUGUAUUUAUUGUAUCAGUUUUUCUUUUCUAUUUUGUGAAUUUUCAAGUGACGAAUUGCUUCUCAAAUAAAACAAUAUAUCAGUGGUUCCUGUCCUGAAAACAUUUGUGUUAAUUGAAGAUAGCUUAGGUCACACCAUAAAAACAUAUAUCAGAAUAGUAAUACAGAGAAAUAGAGUAAUUUUCAUAUAGGUUAAAUAUGUUUUUUUUUUUUAUUUUAUUUUAUUUUAUUUUAUUUUAUUUUAAACUAUUAUACGUAGAGUAUUUCUAAUGCGAGAAACGAAGUUUUAUAUUGGACUAUAAUAUAAUUUUUACGUGCUAUUAGUUGGAGAUACUGUUUUACAUUAUUUUUAUGAAUUACAGGGAUGAAAUACUUUAUAAUUUAGUUUUAGGAGAAAACACAAUUUUUUUAUAUCAGUUAGAGAUUAAAAACAUUUUUUUUAUAACAUGUUAUUUCUGUACCUUUUAUUAAGACUAAACAUAUUAGAAAUGGCGAAGCAUCAUUGUACUCGUAUUUUCAAUAAUAUUAUGUAUUCAAACAUGUUCUUAACAGAAGAUCAUAUACUUAGUACAUGUAGAGAAUAAACCUGACCAUAAUCAAACUAAAUUCUUAUGAAACAUAAUAUUAUUAGAGAUCUCACUUAAUUAAAGAUAAUAUCAAUUUAUAUAUAUGUUGGUACAAUUCUUAUCUUAUAAUUAGUUUUGUAAAAUUAAGGUUUAAAAUUUACUUUUUAAUAUGGUUUUAGGAUCAAUAGUUAAUCUCGAUGACAAACUCAUAUUAGUAUGCUUAGUGGGAUAUUAUUAGGUAUACAAGUAUUAAGUCUCAACUUGAGUAAAAAAUGAAAGAGUUAAAUAUUAUAUAAGGAUGAAAAAUUAUAAAUUCAUUGUCAGAUUUUGAGUUGAAAGUGAUGUCAAUUUUUAUGUGGGUUGGAUUCACGUGAACCAAAAAAGAGAUAAAAAAUGACUCUUUGAUAUAUAUAACUUUUUUACAUUCAUUUGAUACUAUCCUUUCCUACUUUUUACUCUUUUUUUUCUUAAAAAAAAUAUAAAAUUUUACACUUUUAUGAUCAUUUUAUCCUUAUACUUUGUGUUAAAUGAAUGUAAAAGUGUGUCAUAAUACUGUUACUUAAAAAAAAAAAGAUAUGAUAGAAUGUUAUGAAUUAACAAUAUAUGAAAUCAUGACAUCAUUUUUACCUUAAACUUUCAAGUUUUUUAUAUAUUAUUUAUAUUGGCCAUUUUUAUUUAAUAUAAUACUUUAAAUUUUGUUUUGAAUUCUAUAGAAAUUCAGUAAAAUAUAUAGUAAAUAAGUAAAAAGAAAAAAGUUGUACAAUCUGGUCUAUUGCAUGACUUUAGUAAGUUAUGUUGAGUUUCUGAGAGAAGUGAAGCAAGUCUUGCACAAUACCUUCUUAAAUGCAAGUAUGUGCUAAAUUUUUAAAGGAAGAAAGAUUAGUUUUAUAUGAAUACUCUGAAUUUACAUACAAGUCUAAUACUUCCCAAUAAUAAGGUCAUGUUAAGUCUAAUACUUCAAUUAUAGUAGUUACAAUAAAAGAACAAAUAAAGAUUGUCAAUUACAUGAACUAUGUAUUAAAAAUUUUGAGUGUUGUCAACAUUAGGCUUUAGGUUUAGCAUGCAUUUACAAGCAACAGCAUGACAAAUAGUAAGCUAUGUUUUAAUUUCUUCUGCUUAACGAGUUUGCAUUUAAUGGUUAUAUUGAUAAUAAAUAUAUAAUGUAAAAGUUUUUAAAUGGGACAAGUUGAUAUUAAUUCAUAUAUGAUAAUGGUUAGGUGAACCUUUUUGUAUUUUUGUUAUCAAGUCAAAUUAAGCAUAUUGCAUGUGAAAUGAAUAUUUUUCCAGUAUUAAAUAGUUUUGGUAUUGUGAGUUUUAAAAACAGAUAAAAUAUUAAAGUAAUAUGAAAAAAUAUUUAAGGUUUGUCCGUAUAAAAAAUAUUUAAAUACUUUUAACAAAUUAAUUUGAUCAGUGUUACAUAAUAUGGUUUGAACAUCAUAAUCUUAUAUACAUACAUAUAUAUAUAUAUAUAUAUAUAUAUAUAUAUAUAUAUAUAUAUAUAUCAUAUAAUUCUAUUAUUAAAAUGAUUUUAAAGAAAUCAAUUAUUCUUAUUAAAAUUGGAAUUAAUAUAUAGUUUGUGAGCAUGGAAAAAAAUGUCAUGUUAAUGUUGUUUGACUAAUAUGUAUUCUUACAGUAAAAUUAAUUUGCAUCGUUUAUCUGUUUACGAUUACGGUUUCAUUUAUCAUUUUGAAAAGAAAAAAAUGUUAUGAAAGAUUAAAACGAAAAGUGAGAUAAAAUUUUAAAUAAAGAAAAAUUAUACAUUGAAAACAAAUUAAAAUUUAUGAAAUUGACUUGAGGCGACUUAGGAGUGUUAACACAUUCUAAUAUUAUUUAUCAACAAUUGAAAUUAGUAAAAAUAACAAAAUUACGAUUAAAAAGGGAGGCUCCCAAAAUGUUACAAUAAAUUUCACUAAAUUUUAGACAAUUAUAAAAAUAAAUUUAAAGAAUAAUAAAAUCAACAAUCUAACACAUUAUAUAUAAUCAAAAUAAUUUUUAUAUGCAAACUAAAAUGAAUGUAAAUUUAUUAAUACAAAAUACGUGAAUUUUAUUUUCUAUACGGACUAAAAUGUAACGGACAAGUAAACUAAGAUCUAUGGUAUCUCUAAUAAUAAUUAUUUAUAUGGUUUCCUUUUCAAUAAUAUUUUAUAAAGAUAGUUCUUUCUAUAGACAAUCUUCUUAUAGUUUAAACAUCCCAUAUUUAUGGAAUUAUAUUAAAAUAUUACUUUUAUUAAAAAGAAAUUCAUUUCAUUGAAAGUGGACUAAGACUUCACUGUAUAACAGUCUUUGCACAUCACAGAUACAAAUUUUUAUCCACUUUAAGUUAAGUCUUCAUCAAUUUACUUUUGAAAUCACUUCAAAAAAAUCUCUUAUUAAUUAUGUUUAUAUAAACUCAUAUUUAUCUCUUAUUUUAUUUUAUUUAAGAUUUUGUUUGUACUUUAACAUUUAACAUUUGUAUUUGUGAGAAGACCUUGUCACUCAUUUAUACAUCGUCAAAUAAUGUGGUCUAUGAAAAUGAGACCAACUAAUUAAACCUAAAAAUUUAUUAAAAUAUGAAGUAUAGAAAACUUUUGAAAUGGAUAUGGAUUGCAAAAUUUAAACUUUUUUUAAAUAUUAAAAAAUGUGGUAUACUAACUUUGGUAAGUUUAAUCUCUUUUUUCUUUCUUUCUUAUAUAUACAAGUUCAAUUCACAACAAAUGUCAAACUCUUUUAAAACACAGUACCUUCACAAAUAGUGAAGUUUUACAAUUAUAUAUAUUUAAUCAUGUAAUAUUAUACGUAUCUAUCAAUUUAAAAUUAUAUAUAUAUAUAUAUAUAUAUAUAUAUAUAUAUAUAUAUAUAUUUAAAGUUAUGGUUAUAUAUAUAAGAAUUAAAACUGUUGUUUGGCAUCUUUUUAAGUGAAUUUUGGAUUGCAUGCUCAAAUUAAUAUUUAGAUUAAAAAUUUGAUUCAGAGCAUAUAUGAGGAAAUUGAAAUCUAGAGGUUUCAGAUUUUUUUGUGUAAAAUAAAUUAUGUUUGGAAACCAGGAAAAAGUAUUGGGUGUUCUUUCCUGCAUAUGUAUCAUAUUUCUUCAUCCACCCUGUCAUAAAAUUGACUAUGAUAUUUUAGUAAUUACUUUUAAUAAUUUUUUAACAAUAGGUAUCAUUAUUUUAUUAAUUUGUAUAUUUAAAACAGACUAAUCUCAAACUAAUAUAUAAGUGGUUAUAAAAAAAUUAUUAAAUUUUUUUUUAAAGAUACAUUUUUCUUAUAAAACCAUCAGAAAUUAUUUUCCUUAGCAUGGAGAAUGAUUUCUGUCAAGAAAAAAAUUUCAAGAACUGUUUUUGUUUUUCGGAAAAUCAAUUCUGAAAAUGUUAAAAUGAAAACCACAUACAUUCACUGUUAUUGACAACUACAAAGGUAUUGUUUAUAAGAAAACAGCCAUAUAAUUAUUGCAACAGUUUGUGAUUCAUACACAAAAAUAUAUAUAGCAAGAAAAUGUAAACAACAUCACUCUUAAUCAUAUUUAACUAAUAAAGCAGCAAGGCUAAUUUAUGUAAAAUAACUGUUCAUGAUGCCACUCCUAUAGGAUUCCCUCCUUCACUGAUUGCCAUAAAACUCACUCUUUUCUGCAACAAUUCAUUAUCCAAACCAUCAAUUCAUAAUCCGAGCAAAAAUAAGAUGAAUUUGUACUUUAUUUAUAGAUAGAUACAAAUGUUAAGAAAUAAAUUUUAAACUUAAUUCAACCCUAUAAAAUUAAUAUGUAAAAUAAGGUUUGCAUCUCACUUAUAUAUUUUAAAUUAGUCUUAUUUUUAGUCGAUAUAAGACUUCUAACAAUAAAUAUCUCAAUUUACAAAUUUAUCUUUUAAGAUUAAAUUAAAUUUAAAAUUUAUUUUUUUAAAUAAUAGACUUAUUCAACCACUUAUUAUUGUUGGAUCGUCAGAAAUAGUAAAUUUUACACUUACAUGUAUUUCAAUUUAAAAUACAUAUAACUUGGUCUAAGAAAAUGUAUUAGAUGUUUUACAUAAAUAUAUAAAUUAGUGUAAACCUAUUUUAUUCGUAAGUUUUGUACGAUUAAAUUAAAUUUAAAAUGCAGAGAAACAAACUUGCAUGAAAUAGUUUAAUUUUGACAACCACUCUUGAUAAUCAAUGAUAGUCACCAUGCAAGUUUGUGUUAAUUAUUAAAACAAAGGUUAUAUAUAAUAUCUGUGGAAAAAUCUUUAUUCUGUGCAGACCCAACAACUUGAAAAGGACAUUACGCUUAACCUUUUGAUAUGAGUUUUUGUACGCAUGAAAUGAUGUUUAAACUGCUUUCCUUAUCCAUUCUGUUUUGCUUGUCGUCAACUAUAUGAAUGUGAAUUCAGAGGAAUCUGUUCUUGUGUUUUCUUAAAACUGUCAUUGCUCUUUCAUUUCAAUAUAUAUUACAUAGCAGGUGGAGAUUCAAAUUUAUAAAAACAGGGAAUAUGCAAUCUUAUCAUUUAUAUAUAUUUUGUAUUAAUUUGAAUUUAGGUUUCUUUAAAUUAAGAACAAUGGCUAGAAGUUUCAUAUCGACCGACUAGAGAUAAGGCCAAUUAUAAUAUAUAAGUGGGAUGCAAACUUCAUCUUAUAAAUCCGUUUUGUGAGGUUGAGUCAAGCUUAAAGUCUAUCUCUUAAUAUAAUAUCUGAUUAGAGAGUCAUGAUUAGAACCUAUCCUAACAAUACUGAUGAAGAUGAAAUAAUUUUGGUGACAAAAUUCAAAAAAUUUUGUAUAUUAAGUGAGUGUUUGUCACUAGUAAAAAAAGAAAUAUGUGUUUUCAUAAAAUACUAUAUUUCUUGAUAAAAAAAAAUUCCCUGAAAUAAUAAAGUUAUAAGUCUUGUAAUGAUUUGAUAAACCUAACCAUUCUAGUAUGCAAGUGUUUAAGUAUACCUGAACUCAAUUUUACAAAUUGAAUAAUUCUUUUUAGUAAAAUAUAAGUGUUAUCUUUCUUUUAUAAAUUGUUUUAGGAAAUGAGUUUAACUCUAAUUCAUCAUUAUAAAAUUAUCUUAUUUUUAUUUAAGGUGAGAUAUAUAUCCAACAUAAUAAUCAUGUUAUAUCAUGAUAUAUAUACAUAUGAUAUACUCAUAUAUUAUAUAUUAUAUUAGAAAAUGAAUUUCAAUUUUACUAACCUUUAUUAUAAAACUAGUUUAUAUAAAAUUCGAAUUGUUUUUAUUUAUAUGUUAUAAAUUAAUUUUAUUUUUAGUUGAUACGAACAUGAAUGUAACUUGAAGAAAGAAUUUAUAAUAUUCUAAAUAAGGAAAAAUAUUAACUGAAAAUAUUAUUUUUAAUAAUUAAAAUGUUCAAAGUGAACUUUAUGUAUUUAUAAAAUAUCUCAAAAACUUUCAUAAGAAAAAGCAGUAUUGAGUUUUGUUUAUUUGAGUGGAUUUGAGAGAGAGUAAUUGAGUGAAUUUGAAGAUAAUUUUUUUGUUGUUUAUUUGAGUGAAUUUGGAAGUAAACGAGAGUAGAUUUUUAAAUUCACUCAAAUAAAUAGCAACAAAAAUUUAUCUUCAAAUCCACUCAAUUAUUCUUCCUCACAUCCACUUAAGUAAACAAGAUCGAAAUGAUUACUGAUAUAAAAAGUUUAUAAAGAAAAGGUCUAAAUUACGAUAGAGUAAGUAUUAUAGUGAAUACCAAUAUACAACUUGUAUCACUUAUUACAUCUUUUACAUCUAGUCAUUCAUGAUUAAUUUCGUAUAUAAAAAUUGUAAGUAUUUUAAUAGAAAUUAUAAUUUUAUAUACUAAAAGUUAAAUAAGUGUUUACAGUAAGAAAUGCUCUUAAUGAUAAAUAAAUAAAUCAAUAAAUACUAAUAAAUUUGUUUUGUGUGAAAUAUACAUAAUGAUUGACAAAAAUGUUUUCGUAUUUUUGUCCGUUUUAGAAUUUUUCUAUAAAUAGUUGACCAUGUGACCAGCAAUAAUGAUAUAUAAAAGAAAAAUAAAUAAUUAUAUUUAAUAAAAUAAAAGGUGAUUGAACCCGCUACGUCUAACUUAUUCACAUAAUCAAUUCUACUACAUGCAUUGACCUUAACGUCACGGGUCGAAUAAUGUACGAAAAUAUACUUAGUUUGUGGAACAUAUUAUCUUUCAAUAACCUUUUUAAUAAUUUUUAAUUAUUGAUUCAUAUAUUUAAAACAUAACAAUAAUAAAUUAUCAUAUAAACAGUUAUAAAAAAAAAGUUUUACUUAGAUAUGCUUUUGUCGCUGACAAAUUACCAAAUUUAUUUUUGGUCUAUAACAAAAUUUUUCAAAUUUGUACUUCACCUUUUUCCUUAAAUUUUUUCAGACAAGAUUUUAAACAGUAAAAUAAAGGAAAAUUUGUUAAUGCUUUCAUCAGCAAAACGAAAUGAAAAAUUCAAAUACAAAAUUCGAUAAUUUAUACUAGAAAAACCUAUUCAAGUCCAUUAGAAUUUAAUCUGUUCAAGAAUACACAUAAAAUCGAAUGAUUAAGCAGUGAUAAUAUUUAAUGAUGCUACUUAUUAAGAAUUAAUGCAUUUAAAAAUAUAAUCUUGCAUGGCAAUAUAUAUAUAUAUAUAUAUAUAUAUAUAUAUAUAUAUAUAUAUAUAUAUAUAUAUAUAUAUAUAUAUAUUCUAACGUAGUUUUUUUUUUUCAUUUAUUUUUCUUUAAAUUAUAUCUUGUAUUUAUUAUACUAUGACUAAAUUAUUUUUUAAUUAUCCAUAAAAAUAAUCAAUAACUUAUUUCAUACUUACAAUUACAUCAUCAUGUUUUAAAAUGAUAUAUUCGGUUAGAGUCAGUCAAUCAACAUUAAUUAAUGGUACUAAUUAUAUUAAUUUAAAGAAUUUCAGAUAAAAAGAAAAAAACAGAUGUUUAUAAUAAUUUUACAUUUUACUUGCAUGAAGAAACGUACCUGACGAGCUUUUGAAGCCUCGCCGCUUUUGGCCAUGCAGAGUCCAACGAUCUUCUCCGCCGCCUCGGCCUCCGUUUCGCACCCACGCAUCGCCCUCUCCACCUCCGCCUUCGCCACCCGCAUCCUCAGCCGUACUCCGCCGUUCUCCGCUCCUUCCAUUCCCUGCCCUUUGAUGAUGGUGAGGUCUGAAGCAGACCUCCGCGCCAGCACCAGGCUCUCCAGCCUGUCCUUGGCGCUCAUGUUGAUCCCGGACCGCACCCUCCGUGGCAGCACCGCCGGCUCGCGCGGCAGCUCCACGAGAAAGUAUAGCCUCUUGGGCGCCAACUCCCGGUUGGCCUCGAGCGGCCUGGCCCUGACGCCGUAGUGCUUAACCGCCUCGGAUUCCAGCAGCACGAGCCCCGGGUGGUCCUUGAGGACGUCGCAGACUCUGACCGGAGUCUUGAACUUGAAGGUUUGGCCGUCGAUCUUCAUGACCUUGGUCGUUUUCUUUCCUGCCAAGGCAUUCCCCAUUGGAAUUUUAUGAAGUAAAGCUUGAUUAUUUGAUUCCAAUGGAAGAAGACUCACAUGUGGGAGCUGCUGCUUGUUCAAAGUUUGACUUAUUUUAUGAAGUGUGUGUUUGUGGGUGGUUGUCGAUUUAUCUAAUGUUUGGUCAAUAAAAUAAGGCUGUCUUUGAAAAUCUUAUUAUAAUCCAUAAAUUAAUAACAUGCUUGUUACACUCUAAUUUUACACUCAAUUAUAUAGGUCAAACUUGGUUUCAUAUUAGGAAAAUAUAUUUUUAAUAAUUUUUUUUAUAAUUUUUUUACAGUUAAUUAUGUGAAGUCUUAAAUAUACAAAUUAAUAAAAUAGUGUUUAUUAUUAAAAAUGAUUAAAAAAGGUUAUUAAUAUAUCGUAUAGUAAGAUUCACACCCUUAUAAUAUGAUAAAAGAAGAAAAAAUGAAAAGAAAGCUCCAUAUGAAUAUAUGUAUUUCUAAGUGUAAACUAAUAAAGUUGUUAAAAAGUUUUGGAUUUUUCCUAUAAAACAACUUAAAGAGUCAAAGUAAAUUUUUUAUUAUUUAUAUAGUCCAACUUGAUUAAAAGUUUCAACUUCUUUAAACCUAAAAAAGUGAAGCUUGAAUAUCUCUUGUUUAACUCAUUUUGCUUUAUAAAAGACUUAAAACAAUUAUUCAUAACUUUAUCCACUAAUAACGUGAUUUUCUGUUCACUAAAUUUUUAUUUUAAUAGAACUUGCAAAAAUAAUGUAAAGAUAUACAAAAUAUGUUUUAAAUAAAAACACUGCUAGUAAAAUUGAAAUAUUAUAAAUAUAGAAGAUGUUUUAAAUAUUAUACAUAUAUUUAACUAUUUUCAAAAAAAAAAAAGAGAAUUUGAAAUAAAUUUCUCCGAAAACUACAACAAGUUUAUGCAUAAACUAAUUUAUAUAAUUUUUUUAUGUAACUUCUAUAACUUUCAAUCUUUUUAAUUUAUGUAUGCACUAAUAUCAUCUUACAAUAAAUCUGAUUUUAUCUCUUUUACUUAUUUUUAUGAGUAUUGAAGCAUACAUAUCAGACCCAAUAUAUUAGCUCUCAAACCACUUUUAUAUAUAUCGUGUUGAUUCAUGAGAGGGAAAAGACAAUAUUUUAUUAUCAUCUCUCUUUAUUAUGACAUUAUUUUCUAUAUUUUAUAUUUUUAUUCCUUGGUUCUCUUAUAAUUGUAUAAUUUAUUGUAUGAUUUGAUUAAUGUUUGUGAAAUGGAAAACACUAAAUUAUGAAGAGAAAAAUAGAAGAAUUGCUACACUGACACUCUCUGAUCGAGUUGGGGUUUGGUUGUUUUCCAACAACUCUGCUUUCAUAUUCUUAUCCCUUCAACGAUGCCACAAACGCCAAUCACGGAAGAACAAAACAAAAUUUCUAAUAACACCAUGCUUAGAUCAACACACGAAGGUCAAAUUUUAUUCAAAUGAAAUAUAAUAUGGUGUUGUGUUUAACUCUUUUAACUUUUUUUACCACAAUAACAAAUAUAAUUAAAGAGAGAUAAUUGGGUUGUCACAACCCUUAUACAAAAAAAGAGAAGAAAAAAAUUGAAAACAUCCAAGAACCAAAUUUCUUAUGGAUACCUUCUUAAUGUAAAUCAAAACAAAAAUAUAAAAAGAGAUAUUAGACAAUUGAGAAAAUCGAGAAGGAGGUUCACCUAAGAAACAUAAACAUCAAUGAGAUAUGAGUUCAACCAUAUAAGGAAUUGAUACUGCUAUUUACUAAAAGGUUAAAUAUAUGUUUUGGUACUCAUAUUUGUACCCAAUUUUCAAUUGGGUCCUCAUGUUUUUUUUUGUCCCAAUUGAAUCCAAAUAUUUGUUAAUUUGAGGCAAUCAAGCCCUCUCCGUUAACUUCCCACUAACUCCGUCUAACUGUGCUGAGCUGUUCAGAAGUUAAUUGGUCAUUUUAAAUGAUUUCAUUACAUGGAAAAUUUGCACGUGCAAAAUUAAAUUCCUCCAAAUUUUUUAGCCCUAAACCCUUAUUUAAAUUAAGACAUUGUUUCCCAUUCCAUCGUUUCACUCAAAGCCACUUGAGACUCAAAGUCGUUCCUCUGAGCGAGAAACCCAGAGAGGGGUUUGCUUCCCUUGCACACUCGUGUCACCGCUCCCAUCAGGCCAGCCACCACACCACCACCCUCUACUCAGUUUACAGUGUCGCCGCCACCGUCGAGCCAGCCGCCAGGGUUUCUUUUCAUGCUCAUCUUCAUGCGCGAGAGAACAUUGUUCUCGCCUCUCCACCCCGCAUUCUCGCUGUCGCGACGAUCUUCGUGCUCGACCUGAGGCGCCGCCGGCGAUACAAGUUGCCACCGCAGUCCUCGCCAGUCGCCGCGUCCGUGCCAACAAUGCCAACUUCCUCCUAUUCCUUCACCAGCGACAAAACCCUCUCUUCCGAUAAGUGAAUCAGAAAUGAAACCCAGUCCCCGACAUUGCGUCAUCCCCAUUCGACAUCCACACUCGCCGCCGACAACUAUCUUCUUUUCUCAACAUUUGUACUAUGAUGGGUUUGGCUCUUGGGGUUUUUGGUGGUUGAUAAGUGAAGUCGAACAGGAUGUUGAACUGAGUUGUAUUGGCGGCUAGGUUUGGGUUGUUAGGAUGGAUUGGUGUGUGAUGAUGGGAAGCGUGGUGGAGGUUAUGAAGUUGAUUUGGUCUUCUCUGUUUUAGUUUGAAUGCAGGGGAAAUAGUUGAGAAGUAUGAGAAGGAGGAUGGGAAUGAAAAUUUGGUGGAGAUGGAGAUGGUGGAAUGUUAUUGGUAGAAGUUGUGAGUGGCAAGAUGGCUACGACUUGAAUAUGAUUUGUUAUCUUCUCUGUUUUUCAAUUACUAAACAGUAUGGAGGGGAGAAGAUUAUCCUUUUUUGGGGUUUCAUCGUUGGAAGAAGAUGGAGGAAAAAAAUGAAAAUAACUGAUGAUCAUGAAGGCCUUUUUGUGCGAGAAGUUGAAUUUGGGUGUGAGAAGAAUCCUGUUGUGUGUGAUAUGUGUGGGUUUUUCGCUCUUAGAAACGAAAUAUGAGGAAGAAGCAUGUGGUUGUAUGUGAUGGUUGCAGGGAUGAACUCAGCUGGAGGGUCUGUGCGUGAGGGAGGAUGGUGAUGGUGAUGCUGGGUAAGGGUGGAGAUCAUUAAUAAAAGGCAAAGACGCAAACAGAGGAGGAUGACGAAGAAAGGGGAAUACUCCGGCAACCUCCUUCCUUCUUUUUGCUGGCUUCAUUUUGCUCUGUAGGUGAAAUGGGAAACAAUGUCUUGAUUUAAAUAAGGGCUUAGGGCUAACAAAUUUGGAGGAAUUUAAUUUUGCACGUGCAAAUUUUCCACGUAAUGAAAUCAUUUAAAAUGACUAAUUAACCCCUGAACAGCUCAGCACAGUUAGACGGAGUUAGUGGGAAGUUAACAGAGAGGGCUUGAUUGCCUCAAAUUAACAAAUAUUUGGAUUCAAUUGGGACAAAAAAAAACAUGAGGACCCGAUUGAGAAGUGGGCACAAAUAUGAGGACCAAAACAUAUAUUUAACCUUACUAAAACCUUUAAUUAAGAGAAUGAGUUAAUGGGUCUUUCAUCUUUAUAUAAUGUUCUACUCUCUCAUUUCUAUACAAUGUGAAGCUUAGACUCACUUUGAUUCCCAUAAUUUCCCUUUUAAAGGUGAGUCUCUUUCACAUAAGUACACUUCCCUUACAGUACAAGCAGUCAUAACCAACUACAACCACAAGUAAUUUUUUUCAUCCGUCGUUCAUCCAAGUGUGAUUAUUAUCACACAAAACACACUAUUUAUUUUCAAAAACUAUUUUCCCUUUUAUCUCUUUUGACCAUUUAUUAAUGAGCAAUCUCCAUGCAAAAAAUUGAGUAGAUCGUAGGGCUUUAGUCUUUCACAUGUUCUUCUAAUAUCUCUUCACCACGACUCAUGAUUAGAGUCUUUUACCUCAUUUAAGGCUCUCUAGAUUCAUAUUUUCAGUGUAUUUCUCCUGAAUCUAUGAUAGCAUUAAAAUCUCCUACCAUACACAUACCUAUCGUCGUUUUUACACCUACUUAUUUCUUCCUACAUAACCUUUUAUUCAUUAUAGUCACACCAGAAGUAUACAUUUACCACAGUCACUGGUGUUGUUUUUUAUCUUCCAUUUUCCUUCAAAAGACAACAAAACAUUUUCCCAAUUUUGAUUUUAUAAAAGUGUAAAUUCGCUUUUAUAUACUCAAUAAAUCCCAACACCAUUAUGCACCCAUUCUAUAUUAUUGAUCGUCCCAAAUUGUUUGGCAUUUCUUACUGAUUAUGUGUGCUAAUUUGUUUCUUGAAUACAUGCCAUAUCUACCAUAUGUUAUAAUUAAGAGGGUUUAUAUAGAAAAAAGAGUUGUUAAUUGUAGGUUUAAUCAUUCAGCCAAUCCUAAUUUUCGCGUGGAAUCUCAAUUUCGUCCCUUUCUUUUUCGUUUUCUCAAUUGGGUCCUAAAUUUUGAAAAAUUGGAUCAAUAAGAUCCUUUCCGUUAAGUUGGGGCUUACGGUGUUAACUGUGUGUGUGUGACGCGAAAACAAGAGUGAAUUAGUUAUAUUAACGUGGCUGACUUAGUUAAAAUGGAACUAAAACUACUAUUUAUUAAAAUUGAAAAAAGAGAAAGUUUUAUUAAAAUUGUAAAAAACAAUUUAUUAAAUUGGAAGAAAAGCAGCAAUGUUGAUGUGACUAAUAUUUUCACAGAAAUUUUGAUGUGACUAAUAAAAAGCUGAAAAAAAAACAAUUUUUUGAAUUUUAGAAAAAAAAACUCUGCAAUUGGAACAGACUCAGGUGAUUGAUGAAGAAGAGGACUAGCCCCCAAACCCUUUUUCCUUUUCUGACUUUCUAUAACCACACAAACCACAAAAAUCCCAUGAACUGGGAAGUUUGACGACUAAAACUUUAAUUUUCAUCUGAUAAAGAUUCAACCUUUCUUUGUUUAAGGUAGCCCAAAACAACCAAACCGAAAACUUCAGAUAAAAAAAAUGAGCAGUGCUUUUCGCAGGAACUCUGUUAAGAUUUCUCAUGUCAUGGGGAUGCAGAGGCGCUUCAUGUUGGUGAACCAUGUCAUUCAUCCAAUCAAAACCUCUUCUUUUCUCUACAACACAGUGCACUCUAAACCUUUCAUUCGAUUGACACAUUUCUUCAGAAAACCCAGAGAAUAUGAAAAUUCUUUGUCUUUGUUCUGUUCAUCUUUUUGCUCUUCUUCCUCUUCUUCUUCAUCUACUGUUGCAACUUCCCUCUCACGAGACCCCAAAUGAUGAAAUUGAUGACACUUUUGACGAACCCUAGCAGAACAAAUUUCUUCCCCUCAAUCCCUAAUUUGAAAACGUACCCUCCCAAUCCCAAUUAUAAAUGUUGCUGCUUUUCUUCCAAUUUAAUAAAUUGUUUUUUUACAAUUUUAAUAAAACUUUGCCUUUUUCCAAUUUUAAUAAAACAUUGCUUUAGUUCCAUUUUAACUAAGUCAGCCACGUAUAUAUAACUAACUGACUCUUGUUUCCACGUCACACACACAGUUAACACCGUAAGCCCCAACUUAACGGAAAUGAUCUGAUUGAUCCAAUUUUUCAAAAUUUGAGACCCAAUUGAGAAAACGAAAAAGAAAAGGACGAAAUUGAGAUUCUACGCGAAAAUUAGGAUUGACUGAAUGAUUAAACCUUAAUUGUACUUAAUAUAUAUAAUGAAAUAUUUGUUUAUAAAAAUAUAAAUGUAAUCAUGCAAACAAAUUUAAAUUGUUUGGUACGUAAAUUAUUCUCAUACUUACUAUACGAUAUCUUUUCAUGCUGAUAAUGAGUAUAUCGUUUUUAAAAUUACUAUAUAACAUUUCAUUGAGUAUAGAUUUGAUUUUGUUAUUAAUUUUCAAUGAAGUAUAUGUUAUGCGUUUCAAAGUAGAAGCUAGAAUUUGUCGGUUGUGCAAACGUGUUGAUUGUUUGAAAACCCAAACCAAAUUCCACACACGGAAAACACAAUUAUUCCACUUCAAUUGAUUUGGUGUAUGUGUAGUGAAAUUGGUUGACCUUUUUCUUGCAGGUAUCUUUCGAACACUCUAAGUUUCACCACCAAAGGGCUUUCAGAGUAGUUCAAAAGUGAUUUAGGUUCAAAUCAAUCUUUCUUCACAAUAUUCACAAAUCUGCUUCCAAAAAUUCAAAUAAAGUAAGCAUGGAAUUCAAGAGCAAUGUAACAUAUUUUCAAAAUGAAAGAAAAAGUUGUGAACCACAAAGAUCAAAUAUUAUAUAUAUAUAUAUAUAUAUAUAUAUAUAUAUAUAUAUAUAUAUAUAUUGUAUUGUAUGACCACCUUGUAUGAUCCCAUCCAACGAGAAAAUGGCGGACUAGUUUGGAAAUUAUUCUAAACAUUAAUGGACAGUUAAUGAGAAUAAUGGUUUUGAUUGACAAUUAACAGAAAUAAAAUCAUUUAUUGAUAAUUAAUGAAUCAGACCUAAUGAUAAACUUAUUAUAAUAUUUAUGAAUAUAUGAUUAUUCAUCUUUAUUAUAGAAUAUUAGAGUAAAUCACUGACUUGAGCAUAGGGGUGUCUUUGACAUGUACCCAUCUCAAUGUCAAAAACAUAAUAGAAUAUUUGAAUAAAUCACUUACUUAACCGUUCGUGUCUUUAAGAGAUACUCUCCCUCGUACCAAGGAUAAGGAGAAGAAAGAGAAUAUAUAUAUAUAUAUAUAUAUAUAUAUAUAUAUAUAUAUAUAUAUAUAUAUAUAUAUAUAUAUAUAUAUAUUAAAUAAGCAAUAUAAAUAUUGAUGUAUUUUAUUUUUAAUAUAUUAAAAAAUAUUACAAUUUUAGUAUAAAAUUUUACUUUUGUUAAUUAUUAAAAUGAUUAAAUAUCUCAUUAAAUUUUAGUAAUUGUUACAUAUCUUGAAAAAGUUAAAGUAAAAUAUAUUAGUAUUUAUUGUACUAAAAGGAUUACUAGGCUUCAAAUAAAUAAAUGAUUUAAAGUUUGAUUAGAAUCUAAAGUUGAAAGGUGAAGUUGAAAUUGAUGGGUGGGUCAUGAAAUUAGAAGUGGUGCAUUCAUUAGUCAAACAUUAUAUUAGGCUAAGUGUGAAUUUUUUCACUUCAUGUUGAAAAGUUACACUUUUGCUUUCUUCUUUAGCUGACUCAUUGUGCAUCAAACAAAUCUAUCUAUAAUUGGAAGCUUCUAAAAUGACAGAAAUCUCCCUCCCUUUUUUCUCCACAAUAACAUGUAGGUAGAAGUGAAGGCAAAGAACAAACACGUGUUUGGAAUAAAAUGCACAAUUUUUUACUUCUUUAUUCAAAAGUGAAGCAUGCUUAGUCCACAUUGUGUGAAGCCAAACACGCCCUAAAAGGCAAUUUAGCAUACCCAACUCACCUUCAAUUUCUGCUAUAGUUUUAUGGGUUUAAAAAGAACAUUGUAGUUAUGUGAUUUUUUUUAUGUUUGUCAUAAAUUUAGUUUGUUUAUUAAGUAUUAAAAAAAUUAUAAUUUUUCAGUUGAAUUUUUUUGUUUUUUCUAUUAACUGAGUUACAUAACUAUUAUCUUAUUAUGUUAUCUUAAUUUAUGUUAUUUUGUGUUAAUAUUAAAUGAUGUAAUUUUGUUCUUGAUACAAAAUUAAUGUGAUCUUGUUGAAUGAAAGUAAACAAAAUUGCAAAAGAAAGUGGUAUUGAAAAGGAAAUAAAAAAACAAAAUUGUGUUCAAUAAGGAUAAACGAAAAUAAAUAGAAAACUUAAAUAUUGAAAGGUUGCCAAAUAAAAAUAUGUUAGACCAUAAUAAUAAUAAUAAUAAUAAUAAUAAUAAUAAUAAUAAUAAGUCAUCCUUUAAUAAAAAAAAAAGGUAAACAAUUUUUAUACUCAACUAUACUGAUUGAAUGUUUUAAAUAGGUGUUUUAUUUUUUAGGUAGCUAGUGGGUAUACCAAAAUUAAGUUUUUUUCGAGCAUUAUUCAUCAGAUUUUAGUUACACUACUUUGAUUCCUGAAUAUACAAAAAGGUGCAAUUUUAGUCUUCAUCAAGUCACUGUACAUGACAUCAAUAGAUUUCAAUUAAUUAGUACAACUAAUAUAUGUGAUAAGAAUAACUGACCUAAUUAGAACAUGGGAGACUAAAAUUACUACGUAAGAAAUUAAAAUAAUAACAAUAAUAUAAUUCAGACCAAAAUAAAAAUAUAUACUUAUCAUUUCUUCUAGAUACUCACACCAACAACAUCACCUGCUGGUUUUGUUGGGUUGCUAGUUUUUAAUACCAUCAAGAUAUCGUGUACUAAUUUAAUGCUUAGAAAUGUUGUUUCAUUAAUGAGUAUUUAUUAAACAUCAAAUUGACUUUUCCAAUAACUUCAAAUGAAUAAUUAUUAAAUAAUAAAAAAUUGUUUGGAUAUCCCAUAAUGGGAAUUAUUGACUAAGAGCAGUUUGGCUAUGCAUUUUAAACAACUCAUAAAUUAGUCUUAUAAGCGUCACAUUAUGAAAUUUUGACUAGAAACAUUUGUUGUCACAGUUUAUUGUUAAACAAGCAUCGGUAGAAAACCCACAGAAAAGUAGAAAAGUUUAUAUAUAGCAGAUAGAGUAAUAAUACUAUAAUAUACUUUUAAAUUCAUUUGACACAAAAUAUAAGAAUAAAAUAGUCUAGAAAAACGUAAAAUUUUGUAGUUUUUCAAUAAAAAAGAGAAUAAAAAGUAAAUAAAAAUAAUGUCAAAUGAAUGUAAAAAAUUUAAGUGUGUCAAAGAAUCAUUUCUCAUAAUAGGUAUUAGAAACAAGAGCAGCCAAAUGGAUCAUAAUGCCCUUGAAUUAUAACAAACUCUUUCAUAACCAUGGAUUAAUGAUGUUUGCUUAAUUCGAACAAUGGAAAUGGAAUGCUUUUAUACAUAUGUUGUAUCUCCUUUACUUACUCUCACUUCUUCAUUGUUUCUUUUUGAGUUAUUAUUGUCUUAGCUUCUUCUACUUCUGGGUUUGUUUGUAUUGUCUAAGUUCUGGUUUUGUGGUGAAUUGAUGGUAGUAUCGGUGUAUCGGUGGUGGUUUUGGAUGUUCGUGCUAAUAAUUGUUGUGGUCUGAUUCAUCGUAAGAGAAUAUUGAAUCUAAGUUAAGAAACACAACUGACAUUGGAACAACGGUUAAAAACUCGUUAGUGUUUGAACGUUAAUUAAAAGAUACCAUAAUUUAAAAUAUGACAGAACUUUAAUCAACUUUCGAACACUAACAAGCCCUUAACCGUCAUUAAAAACUGGUUUUCAAAAUUUGGUCGAUUGAUUUUCGAAUACCGAUUAAAGAUUCAAUGUGAAUUGAAAUGCAAUGGUCAUUUAAAUUUUAUUUUAUUUUGUUUAUAAUAUAUUUGUUUAUUUUAUUAUAUCUCAAUGCUUUUUUAUUUUAUUUGUAAUAUCUUUAUAUUUAUUAUUUAAAUUUUAAUAUGUAUUACUUUUUAUUUAUUAGUUAUCUUUAAUUUUUUUUACUUUUAUUAUUUAUAAUUAUAUUUCUGUUUUUAUUUAUUAUUUAGUUUUGAAUAUUCUUUUAUUAUUUUUUACGUAUUAGUUAAUUCUGUAUUUACCAGUUAAUUUUUAUACAUGUUAAUGUUUUUAAAGUUGCAUUUAAUUUUUGAUAACUUUUUGUUUUUUUAUUUAUUAUUUAGUUUAUAAUAUUUUUUUGUUAUUUUUUAUUUAUUAGUUAACCUUUUUAUGUCUUAAUCUUUUUAACUUUUGAUUCCACUUAUAAUGUGUUUAUAUUUUGUAAGUAUUAUUUCAAUUUUAAAAUGUUUUAUUAUUUGUUAUUUAUUAGUUAAUUUGUAAUAAUGUUUUUAGCAUUUAAUUUAAUUUAUAAUAUGUUAAUUUUGCUUAAUUAUAAUAUAAUUGAUAUUAUGUUUAGUUGUUUUUUAUUUAAUUUUUAAUUUAUGUCUUAAUGUUUAUAAUUUUUUUUAUUUAAUUUAUAAUAUGUGUAUGUUUUUUAUUUAUUAUAUAAUGAUUAAUAUGUUAUGUUGUUUUUAUUUAUUAGUUAAUUUUUAAUAUUUGACAAUGUUUUCAAUUUUUGAUUUAAUUUAUAAUGUUUUUUUUAAUAUGUAAUGUUUUUUUUUAUUUUUAAUAUGUGAUGUUUUUUUAUGUAUUAUUUAAUUUUGAAUUUAUGUUGUUGUUCUUAUUUGAUUGAUGAAUAUUUAGCAAUAAUUAUGUUUAUUGUAGGUUGUAAUUAUAAGAUGAAUUUAACUAUCCAUUCGAAUUAAUUCAUUCUAAAAAUAAAUCCGAGUUUUGUGUUCAAAUUUUCUUUUUUUUUUUUAAAUGAAGUGACUGAGGGUGAUAAUACAAAUAAAUUUUCCGCUUAUCGAAUAUUCUCCUCAUAUGAUGAUUUAAUUGAAUGGGUUCGAAAGAUUGCAUUCGACCUUGAAUUUCUUUUUGUCAUUACAAGAUCUAACACAACAACUAUUGAAGCUGGAAGAAUGACAUUCGUUUUGUUAGGUUAUAAAAGGAGUGAGAAGCCUAGAAAGUAUAAACCAGAUGUUCAACCUAAUGUAUUGGGGACAAAAAAAAUGUGAGUGUCCGUUUAGGUUGAGGGGUAAACCGAAAGGGUUGGGUUUUAAAGGUUAUGUGCGACAUCACAACCAUGAAUUAGCAGAGACUUUGGUUGAUCAUCCUUUUGCUGGAAGGUUAAAUGGUGUUGAAUAAUCAAUUGUUGUUGACAUGACUAAGAGUCGAGUUAAAGCCUUCAAAUAUUCUAUUGACUCUAAAAAAACAUAAUGAUAAUAUUGUGACAACUAUAAAGCAAAUAUAUAAGUGAGGUAUACAUACAAAUGUUUUCUGAGAGAGUCAAUAACUGAAAUGCAGUAGUUGAUGACAAUGUUAGAUAUAGAUAAAUACAUCCAAUAGAGUAGAUAUUUGGACGAUCCCAACGUGGUAGUGCCAUCUAAGCUUAUGUUAACCAUUUCUAAGCUCUCUCCCCCAAUAAACAAUUUUUCGGCCAGAACUACAUGAUCCUUGAUUCUCCAUCAAGAGUGGAGAUACGUAGGAGCAAGGCCAGUCAGUUCUCUUCUCAGGUUCAAUUCCCAAAAUCCAAAUCUUUUCCAAACAAAUUUUCUGAAUAAUUUCCCAAACAAACUUCUCAAAUAGAAUUUCAAAAGAACUACGUUACCUUGAUUUCGCAUUUUGAAUGAGAAUAUGUAGGAGCAAGGUCAAUCCUUGUCGGGCUCCAAAAUUAUAAAAUAUCUUUUGUUUCUUUAUAGUGUCAUUUUUAGGGAUAAUUAAACAUUCUGAAAACCACAUCACAUUCGCGCAUUUAAUUAAAGAUAUUGUCUUAGGGUAGGCGUUGUAGGGGGUGCUAAUACGCGUAACCGACUCCCGAACCUAGAAUCCGAUUUUAGCAGACUAAGUCUUUUUUUAUGGUUUUUCUGUAGUUUUCCAGAAUAAACUAUGUUGGCGACUCCAAAACUCUUUUUUCAAACUUGUUCCUCUUUUUAGAUCGUUGUCCCAUUACGAUUCUGGUUGUGAUACCCACCAUCAACUUGAACUUCUUAAACAUCUCAAAUGCUUUUGAUUUCUUUUGUAAGAAAGACACACAGGUCCUCCGUGAGAAGUCAAUGAAAUAAAGUAUUUUAUACCAAUGAAUGAAUUAAGAGAAAUUAGUCCACACAAGUCAUUGGGUAUUAGAUCGAGUUGCUCUUUUACCUUGUACAUAGUUGAGUUUGGAAACUUGGUUUUUGGUUGUUUUCUGAGCACACAUUAUAAAAAUUCUUCUCAAUUUCUAUACUGGGUAGUUCGAGUAAUAGUCCCUUCCUUGACAGCUCAGCCAAGCUUGCAAAGUUAAGGUGUCCAAUCCAGAAGUGUCAUAUCAUAACUUCAUCUUUCAUGUACAACUUCAAACACCUCUUAUGCAAGAUCUUCAACUCAAAAUUUAUACAUCCCGUUUUUCUUCAUUUCUACCUAGGCUGCAAGAUGGCCAUGCUUAUUCUUCAAAUAUAGUACUUAUUCCUUCAUUAUAACUAAGUUUCCUUUUUCCAUCAUCUCACUUAUGCUAAAAACAUUGCUCUUUAGCUCAAAAACAUAGUUGACGUCCCUGAUUUCUCCAACUCAUCCAUUUUUCUAUGUGUCAGAUUGUUCCACCCCCUUUUUUCAUUCACUCUAGAAUAAUCUCUAAAUGACGUGAAUCUGGCCUCUACCUUGGUGAGUUUAUCAAAGAAAUUCUCAUUUCCACACAUAUGAUUGCUAACUCUAGUGUCUGGAUACUAAAUCGAGUUGGUAGAAUUCUUUUCAGCCUUUGAUUUCAAUCAUGUCACUACAUUUGUGUUCACCACUUUUUAUUUCGAGUUCUCCUCCGUCAUUUUUUGAAUAGUUCCUAAGCCUUGUUGAGCUCUUCAAUCGUGUUGUUGAGAUUUUAAAGCAUGUUGUCAUGCUUUACUAACUUGAUUAUGGGCUCUAUAUAGUCGAUUUCUUAAGUAACUCAACAUCUCCUGACUUAAGCUCGUCACAGCUCAGCCUAACAAGUUCAUAGCUCGGUAGUACUUCGUUUGAGCUCACCACCUUUAUUAUUGUGUUCCCUAUCUCUUUUGUCGGGCUCUUUGGCAACUCAGCCCUAAACAGAUCGGUCUCCACCUACUUAGUUUCAACCAACUUGGGACACGCUUCUCGACCUCAAAUACCCUAGCCUUCACCAGCUAAACUUUAGACAACCUAGACUUCAUCUGCUCGGCCUUAAACAACCUAAUCUUUUGUUGCUCAACUCUAGACACCCUGGUAUGAAUUUGCUCAACCUCAAACAACCCGAUCUUCUUGUCCUUAGCUUCAAACAAUCUAGUUUGAUCAACCCUAGGUCUCCUUUUUAGGAGCAUGAUGUCCGAGCUUUUUGACAGCAUUAAAAUCCCCAUCUCCUUUUCAUCUUCUGUUUACUAAAAUUAUAAUAUCUAAUUUAUAUUAUACAAUUUUUGUAAUAAUAAUAAUAAUAAUAAUAAUAAUAAUAAUUGUUUCGGUUAGAUUGGUCUGAUGUUCGAUCGUCCUUCCUUGCGCUUGUUCUCUUCUGAUCAUCCAAUCCUCUCCAAGAACGUAAUUCACCAUGGGUUGUUGACCUGCAGAAGACACUCUGAUGCUCAAGUUAGAUAUAUUUCAUAAAGAGGUCACUAUUUUAUUAAGAUAGAUCAAAGAUAUCUUUACCUGGAUAUCAAUUGUAUAUUUAUAGGACUUGUGGAAGCCAAACCCCUUGAUUAACCAUUAAUGCAGUAUAUUUUUAGGCAAUCAAACCCAAUAAUCAAUUAUUAAUACCGAAUAUUUGUAUAGCAUAAGGAAAUCUGAUCCAUUAAUACCUGUUAGCUGCUAAAAAACGACCAUUAACUUCGAUCAGUAUAUUUCAUAUAGUACAUAAGUCCCCCAAGUCCAAGCAAGCUCUUUAUUGGAAAAGGUGCACAAGGAUUAUUAUGAGCUUAAGAGAAGUCGCUCAUGUUGUGUUAGGAAGUCUAUUUUCGAAGCGCUUUAAGUCUUCAUUCCUUUCUGUACCGAGCGGCGAACUUUAGGAGUUCUCUUUGGAACUGUUCCCUAGACUAAGCAGAAAAUGCCAGGAGUUCUCUUUGGAAUUUUUUCCUAGGUUGAGUAGUAGAUGCUAGGAGUUCUCUUUGAAACUUUUUCUUGGGCAAUAAAUUUUCAUUCUAAAAACUAUGCGUUAAAGAACAUAAAAUAAACGCUUCAAUAUUUUAUAAUCUAUUUUUAUAAUGAAAAGGCAUUGGAACCUGACAAAGCUGAACGUAGGUGGUCCGAGUGGGAAGGGACUGAACUUGAUGAGUAGUCGACCAAUAGGAGUUCUUUUUUGAACUUUUCCUAUGUUCAGUGAAGGCACUAUAAGUUCUAUGUGAACUUUUUCUCUAGGCCGAGCAGCGACUAUUAGGAGUUCUUUUUUAGAGUUUUUUCCUAUGUUGAGCGAAGGCACUAGAAGUUCUAUAUGAACUUUUUCUCUAGGUCGAGCGACGACUGAUAGGAGUUCUUUUUCAGAACCUUUUCCUAUGCUGAACGAAGGCAUUAGAAGUUCUAUAUGAACUUUUUCUAGUGAAAGAAAUCUUCACUCACAACAAAUAUACGUUAAACAAAAUAAAAUAAAUUCUUUAUAAUUUAUUUUUAUAAUGAAGAGCCAUUAGAACUGCCAGGGCUGAGCGUAGGUGGUCCAACUAACCGAGCGGGAAUGGACUGAACCUUCUUGUGCAGGAUAUUUUUGCUCACAAAAAUAUGCGUUAAAUAAAAUAUUUAAUAUUUUAUAAUGAGAAGUCAUUAAAACCUGACAAGGUUAAACUUUGGUGGUCCAAUUGACUAAGUCGUAAGGGAUUGAACCUUCCUAUGUAGGAUAUUGUUACUCACAAAAAUAUGCGUUAAAUAAAAUAUUCAAUAUUUUAUUUUUAUAAUGAGAAGCCAUUAGAACCUGACAAGGUUAAACUUUAGUGGUCCAACUGACCAAGCGAUAAGGGACCGAACAUUCUUGUGCAGAAUAUUUUUACUCACAAAAAUAUGCGUUAAAUAAAAUAUUCAACAUUUUAUUUUUAUAAUGAAAUGACAUUAGAACCUGAUAAGGUUGAACAUUGGUGGUCCAAUCGACCAAGCGGUAAGGGAUUGAACCUUCUUAUGCAGGAUAUGUUUACUCACAAAAAUAUGAGUUAAACAAAAUAAAGCAAAUGCUUCAAUAUAUUAUAAUUUAUAAUUUAUAUUGAAAAGUCAUGGGAACCUGACAAGGUUGAACGUAGGUCUGAACCUUCCUGCGCAGGAAAUUUUUACUCACAAAAUUGAGUUAAACAAAAUAAAGUAAAUGCUUCAAUAUAUUACAAUUUAUAAAUUAUAAUAAAAGGUCAUUGGAACCUGAUAAGGUUAAACGUAACUUUGAACAUUGUUGUGAGAAAUAUUUUUACUCACAAAACUAAUAUGUUAAGGAAAAUAAAAUAAACCUUCCAAUAUAUUAUAAUUUACAAAUUAUAAUAAAAAGUCAUUGGAACCUGAUAAGGUUGAACAUAUGUCUGAACCUUCCUAUGCGAUUUUUACCCAAAAAAUGAGUGAAACAAAAUAAAGUAAACCCUUCGAUAUAUUAUAUUUUAUAAAUUAUAAUAAAAAGUUAUUGGAACCUGAUAAAGUUGAACGUAGGUCUGAACCUGUGCAUGAUAAUUUUACUCACAAAAAUAUGAGUUAAAUAAAAUAAAGUAAACACUUCAAUAUUUUAUAAUUUAUAAAUUAUAAUAAAAAUUCAUUGGAACGUGACAAAAUUGAAUGUAGGACUGAACCUUCCUGAAAAUUCUCAUAACAAAAGACAUGCCUUUAAAAUUAUUAUGGAAUUUUUUACUCUUGUUGCAAAACCUAGUAUUGAUAUGAAGUAGCGAUGUCGACACUGAGCGCGCUUCUAGUUCAUCGUGACUUCAUGGGGAUGCCCCUCGGCCCCACGGUGGAUGCCAAAAUGUUUCGGUUGGAUUGGUCUAAUGGUCAGUCGUCCUUUCUUCCUCUUGUUCUCUUUUGAUCGUCCAAUGCUCUUUGAGAACGUAAUCCACCUGAUGCUCUAGUUAGAUAUAUUUCAUAAAGAGUUCACUAUUUUAUUAGGAUACAUCAAAGAUAUCUUUACCUGGACAUCAAUUAUAUAUUUAUAGGACUUGUGGCAGUGAAGUCCCUUGAUUAACCAUUAAUACAUUACAUUUUUAGACAAUCAAACUCAAUAAUCAAUUAUUAAUACCGUAUAUUUGUAAAACAUAAGACAAUCUGACUAUUAAUACGUGCUAGCCCCACAUAAACGAACAUUAAUUUUAAUCCGUAUAUUUCAUAUAAUACAAUACUAAUUUUAGAUACUAAUAAUUUUUAAUUUAUAAAAUAAUUUUUUGUUACUACAAUAACUAAUAUUAUAAGCAGUUUUCAAAUUAGUCUAUAUUUAAUUAAUUUUUGGCUUAAACCCUUCCUUGGUCCUAAUAUUUGUGUGAAAAUCUCAGUUUGGUCCUCAAGUUUUGAACUGUCGCAAUUGGGUCAUAAUUUUUGUAAAAAUGCACACAUUUUACCCCAACUGUUAACUGGUCUCAGACGACGUUAAUUGAUGUUGAGAUGUAUUUUUUAUUUUAGGCUUAAUCCCUUCCUUGGUCCUUAUGUUUGUGUGAAAAUCUCAGUUCGGUUCUCAAGUUUUUUCUCAAGUCCUUAUGAAUGCAAACAUUUUACAACAUUUUACCUCAAUCGUUAAGUGUAUUGAGAUGACGUUAACUUUGAACUGAGCUGUAAUUAUCUUUUUUAUGUUUUAAAAUCAUUAAAUCCACGUGACUAUGGUCUUUUUUUUCCUUCCAAUCACUGAUCACAUUUCACUCAUUCCUCCACCCUCAAACCCUCAAACCCCCCGACUGACACCUUUUCUCCCUCUCAAACUAAAAAAUGUCGCCGUUGUCGACAGUUCAAAAAUUAUGACCCAAUUGAGACAAUUCAAAACUUGAGGAUCGGAUUGAGAUUUUCACACAAACAUAAGGACUAAGGGAGGGAUUAAGCCUAAAAUAAAAAAUACAUCUCAACAUCAAUUAACGCCGUUUGAGACAACUUAACGAUUAGGGUAAAAUGUGUGCAUUUUUACAAAAAUUAUGACCUAAUUGAGACAGUUCAAAACUUGAGGACCGAACUGAGAUUUUCACACAAAUAUUAGGACCAAGAGAGUGUUUAAGCCUUAAUUUUUUAUAGUGUUAGUAACAUUUUAGUAAAAUACUAUUAUUGAGUAAAUUAAUUUAUCUACGAUAAUAUUAUUUAAAAGUUAAUCAACAUUAUUUAUAGUAGCACUUUUUAAAAAUAUUAUUAUAGGAUAUAUAUAUAUAUAUAUAUAUAUAUAUAUAUAUAUAUAUAUAUAUAUAAUAACAUUUUUAAUAAAUAUAAUCAAGAAAAUAUUGCUAAAACUUAUAAAAUUCUACAGUGCACCUUGGAGAUGAUAUUAAUGUGUUUGGUGCAUACCUGUACUACAAUUUCAUCUUAUUGGUCCUGUGACUUCUUCAUUUCGUUUCAUUUUAUUAUAGAAUCAGGAAAUUUAAAAGAACUUGAUUUUAUAUCUUCUGUAAAAACAAACCUUAUUUGUCAGUAUUUUCACACGAACAAGAAUCACGUAAACACAUACAGAGUGGAAUAUAAACAGUAGCCAAAUCAAUUGUUUAAGUUAUGAUGAUCUUCAUUUUUUGUACCAGACUCUGCCAGAGAUGGAACGACAUUUUCUUCAUCCAACUUUGACUCGGUCAAGCUCUCCACUCUCUCCUUCUUCAGCAUCUGUGCCAUAUCAUAAGAGGAAUGCAAUCCCACAAACAGGUAAUACACCAGUAGAAUCGCAGUCCAGAAUCCAAAUCUUCUGAACGAAGCUUUAUCCAACGAACCAAGAAGGAAAAUAUUGAUUCCAAUGGAAGCUGAUGGCAGGAACGGCACCAGUGGCACACCCCAAACCUUUGGCUUCUUCGUCAUCGGAACCAAAAGCCAAAUCCCCACUGUUCCCAUAAGCCAAAGCGGCACUAUGAUGAUGUAACCAACCCAUUUCGUGGUGUUGGCCCAGUAAACAGCUGAGGCAACAGAAGAACCCAAUAUGAGAGCAAUGCAGAGAACGAACUUCACAAUGUUGGCUUGUGUAGCCACCCCUCUUGCACAGUAGCGGCGAACCAACAGGGCCAGCGCCACAAGGGAGAACAAGAAGAGAGUGGAAAUCGAAAGAAGGUUAGCAAGAACAUCAAGUUUUGUGAAGAAUGCAACAAUGGCAGUGGCACCAAGCAUGACAACUGUGGCAUUGAUGGGUGUCCCAGUUCUCUCAUUUACCUUGCAGUAAAAAGGGUUGUUUGUGAGAAGUCUAUGUUGUGUUGUUGUGUUUGUGUUAUUUUGGCAACAUUUGUUUGUUGUUACAUACCUUAGCAAGCCAUGGAGGUAGCAACUGUGUUCUAGCAAUGUGAGUGAGAUACCUGGCUUGUCCCACAGCACCAACAAGGAGAACACUCGUCAUUCCUUUCAAUGCCCCAAAUGCAACUAUGUACUUCGCCCAGCUCAUCCCUACCGCUUCAAACGCCACAGAGAAAGCAGCAUUCUCGUCAACCUCUGAAAACCUCUGCAUCAAACAGAGGGUCACCGACAGCAUGCAGUACACAAGCGUGGUGCACGUCAUCGACCCUAUCAGCCCCAACGGAAUGUCCCUGCCAGGGUUCUUCGUCUCCUCCGCCAUGGUGGAAACCGCGUCGAACCCCACGUACGCGAAGAACAACACCGCCGCCGCCUGCAAGUAGGAUGGAUCAGAUUCAUCAACCAAACUACAGUAAACUAGCUCCAAAGAAUUGGACAAUGAAUCAACUAAUCAAUCUCAACAACUCAAACUGAUUUUGAAUCAUGUAAAUGAUCAAGUUUUCUUUACCUGGAAGAUGCCGCGGGAUCCGAAUGGAAGAAAGGAGGAGUAGUUAGCGGCGUUGGCUUUGGUGAGGCCGGCGACGAUGAUGAAGAGGAGGACGAGGAGGUGGAGGAUGGAGGCGAGGUAGUUGAAGCGGGAGGAGCCCUUGGUGCUGGAGAUGGCGAAGAGGCCAAUGAUGAAGAGGACGGCGACGGCGAUGGGGUCGAGGUGGCUGUAGUCCGCAGAGAGGUGGUGGGCAUGGAUGAGGAACUUGUCGGAGUCUUGGUUGCAGAGAGUGGCGAAAUAGGAGGUCCAGGAGCGAGCCACGGCGGCGCCGCCCACCACGUACUCCAGAAGGAUGUUGCCGGAUGCAAUGUACGCCACGAAAUCGCCGAGCUCGACUCUCAGGUACGCAAACGAACCGCCUAAUAAUUAUCCAUUUAUAUACCUGGGUGAGGUUUGAAAAACACGUGCAAAGAAGUAGCAGAAGAAAGAAAGAUACCAGCGACGGGAAUUUCGACGGCGAAUUCGGUGUAGCAGAAGACAGAAAGCAUGGCAGAGACGCCGGAGAUAACGUAGGACAAAACGACGGCGGGUCCGACGUGGUUCCUGACCUCAAAGCCGGUGAGGACGAAGAUGCCGGAACCUAUGACGCUGCCCAUUCCGAACCAUAUGAGAUCCCACCACGUAAGAGUCUUCUUCAUCUCAUGGUGGCUGCGCCGCUUCACUUCAACCAACUCCACCUCCUCCAUCGACCGACCCGUCAUUCGAUCCACUAGCCUCCACGGCGUCGCCAACAACGCUCUCUUGUACUUUGAUAAGCUCUCGAACGACUCCAACGUUAUAGCCUCAGAGUACCUUCUGUUCUCGUCGUUUCCCUCCAUUCUUCUUCUGCAUGCUCCUCAAAAACAGAUAACUUGAUCCACCAUAACCAACCAAAAUUUAAUAAAACUUAUAUUAUAUGUUUCCUUCAUUUUGUAAACCUAUUUUAGCAUUUUCUUGAGAUAUUUUUUCGCUUAGAAAGUGAUGUUAGCAACCUUAUUGCAUUUUCUCUUGUACUUUGAUAAUUUAAUAAUCACACGUUUUAUUUGGUGAAGUUGUUUGAGGUUAAGAGGGCCUUUAUGAUUGUUGGACUUAUGGGAAUUAAGUAUGAGAGGAAUUUUGUGUCUGAUGUGUACAAUGCUAAAUUAGUAAAAGGACAAUGAUAUUUUGACAACACUUUUUGACAACGGGAUACGUGCCAUCAUUUUAUUGGUCUAUUUGAAUUUAUGUUUAAAAAAUAUUUAAAACGGACCAACCAUAAACUGCCACGUAUGCGUUGUCAAAAAGUUGUUAAAAAAGUGUUGUUAAAAGAAGUUUUUCCUUAGUAAAAAGGGUUUCAGUCAAAGAUAGAGUGUUGAUUUUAGUGAGAUUUUUUCACCAAUUAUAAAAGUGUCACCCAUCCAAGUUACGUUAAGUUUAAGGAAAAUGUUUCUUUGACAACGGAAAUUUGCCAACGAUUUGCCAACGAUACGUGGCAUCCUCUGAUUUGCUUUUUUAAUUGCUUUUGUUUUAAUGUUAAAGUUUCAUUUGGAGGGUAUUUUUGGGAAGAGAAUUUCUGAAACCAAAAGAUUUUGCGCCCCUUCUUCCCUACGAAACACACACUCUCUCUGGAAAUUUCAAUCGAAACUCUCGAUUCCCAAAGUCUCCGUCCACCAUUGUGAACUCUCAAACUGUUGCUCGACCAUUGUGAACUCUUGACAGGCCACCGAAGCGCCCCUUCUUCCCUAUGAAACACACUAUCUCUCUCUGGAAAUUUCAUUCGAAACUCUCGGUCCCCAAAGUCUCUGUCCACCAUUGUGAACUCUCAAACUGUCUCUCUGACCAUUGUGAACUCUUGGCAGGCCACCGAGAAAUAUGAAAGCAGAUCAAUACAGCUAAAGUAUUGUUCAUGAAUUAUUACUGAAGAUGAUUUUAUGUGUGUUUAAUUGAUUACAGUCAUGCUAUAAUAGCUUACCAGUGCCUGUGUAAGCGAUUAUAGACAUGUUGUAAUCGCUUACAGGUGCCUCUGUACCAAAAGUCCAACGCUGCUCCCUGCCUCUUUUAGAGGGGGCUCCCCAGUGUGUGGUAGGUACUGACUUAGUCAGAAAUUAAGUUAUGAAUUUGAGAUUAAUGGUUGUUUUUUAGGACCAACAACUGGUUAUGGGUUUGUUAGGGUAUUUGAUCCAAGUGCAUGUNNNNNNNNNNNNNNNNNNNNNNNNNNNNNNNNNNNNNNNNNNNNNNNNNNNNNNNNNNNNNNNNNNNNNNNNNNNNNNNNNNNNNNNNNNNNNNNNNNNNNNNNNNNNNNNNNNNNNNNNNNNNNNNNNNNNNNNNNNNNNNNNNNNNNNNNNNNNNNNNNNNNNNNNNNNNNNNNNNNNNNNNNNNNNNNNNNNNNNNNNNNNNNNNNNNNNNNNNNNNNNNNNNNNNNNNNNNNNNNNNNNNNNNNNNNNNNNNNNNNNNNNNNNNNNNNNNNNNNNNNNNNNNNNNNNNNNNNNNNNNNNNNNNNNNNNNNNNNNNNNNNNNNNNNNNNNNNNNNNNNNNNNNNNNNNNNNNNNNNNNNNNNNNNNNNNNNNNNNNNNNNNNNNNNNNNNNNNNNNNNNNNNNNNNNNNNNNNNNNNNNNNNNNNNNNNNNNNNNNNNNNNNNNNNNNNNNNNNNNNNNNNNNNNNNNNNNNNNNNNNNNNNNNNNNNNNNNNNNNNNNNNNNNNNNNNNNNNNNNNNNNNNNNNNNNNNNNNNNNNNNNNNNNNNNNNNNNNNNNNNNNNNNNNNNNNNNNNNNNNNNNNNNNNNNNNNNNNNNNNNNNNNNNNNNNNNNNNNNNNNNNNNNNNNNNNNNNNNNNNNNNNNNNNNNNNNNNNNNNNNNNNNNNNNNNNNNNUCCCUGCCUCUUUUAGAGGGGGCUCCCCAGUGUGUGGUGGGUACUGACUUGGUCAAAAAUUAAGUUUUGAAUUUGAGAUUAAUGGUUGUUUUUGAGGACCAACAANUNGUUAUGAGUUUGUUAGGGUAUUUCAUCCAAGUGCAUGUGUGAGGAAGAUGAACUUUGUGACUUAUGUGCCCGUGUAAUCGAUUACAGAGUGACUGUAAUCGCUUACCAGUGCCUUUGUACCAAAAGUCCAACGCUGCUCCCUACCUCUAGUAGAGAGGGCUCCCCAGUGUGUGGUGGUACUGACUUGGUUAGAAUUUAAGUUAUGAUUUUGAGAUUUCUGGUUGUUUCUUGAGGACCAACAACUGGUUANGGGUUUGUGUGGUUUUUUAUCCAAGUGCAUGUGUGAUGAAGAUGGACUUUGUGACUUAUGUGCCCGUGUAAUCGAUUACAUAUUGGCUGUAAUCGCUUACCAGUGUCUCUGUACCAAAAGUCCAACGCUGCUCCCUACCUCUGGUAUAGGGGACUCCCCAGUGUGUGGUGGGUACUGACUUGGUUAGAAUUUAAGUUAUGAUUUUGAGAUUAUUGGUUGUUUUUAGAGGACCAACAACUGGUUAGGGGUUUGUGUGAUAUUUUAUCCAAGUGCAUAUGUGAGGAAGAGGGACUUUGUGACUUAUGUGCUUGUGUAAUCGAUUACAGACAGUCUGUAAUCGCUUACUUGUGCCUCUGUACCAAAAGUCCAACGCUGCUCCCUGCCUCUAGUAGAGGGGGCUCCCCAGAGAAAAUGGAAAACCUAAAAUGGAGAGAGAUAAAGAAUUCCAAGGACAAAGUCUGAUUAAAACGCUUGAGGGUGUUUUCGGAAUACCACAAAACACCUUUUCAUAUCAGUUUUUUAGUUGAAAAAAAAAAUUAAAAAUGACAAAUAGAAUCAUGACGCGUUGGCAAAUCGUUGGCAAAAAUUCGUUGUCAACGUAUCCCUACCCUAAGUUUAAAUGCUACUGUUGGUUUUAAGGUAGAGCAAAUGGAUGUGAAAACUACUUUUACUUCGUAGUGCUUUGUAGGAAGAGAGAUUCAUAUGAUGCAAUCAGAUUUCCUUGCUCAAGGUAAGAAAGACUAUAUGUAGGUUGAGAAAGAGCAUACAUUUUGAAGUAAACUUCAAGAUAAGAUUUUAAGAAGGUUCACUCUAUUAUAUGUCAUGUUAUUAUAUGUUGAUGACAUGUUUAUUGUUGGAAAAGAUAUUUUCUGAAUUGAUACUAUAAAAAAGUAGUUGAAUGAAUCAUUUGCCAUGAAUAAUGUGAAAAGUGAUAAAUGAAUUCGUGAUACAAGAAUUUGAGGUAGGAAGGAGAAUAUACUUUGUUUAUCACAAAAACAAGUUAGUAAGUAUUUUUUUUGUGUUACUCACCUUUAUUUAAUUUGUAAAAGUCCAUAAAAUGAAGCUAAAAAAAAUAAGCAUGCAAUAGGUUCCUUAUGCAUCUAUAAUAGGUAGUUUGAUCUAUGUAAUGGUGUGCACAAGAUCAAAUAUAGCACACAUUAUUGUUAGAAUUAGUAUAUUUUUGUUAAACUUUACUAGAGAACAUUACAAUGUUAUAUAAUGGAUUUUGUAGUGUCUUUAUGGUAUCAAUAAUAUUAAACUCUCUUUUGAUGGUGAUAAAGGUAAUUUGGUGAGAUGCUUAAAUUCAUAUAUGGUUGGAGACAUUAAAAAAAUCCACUUCAUGUUAAUUUUGCAAGGAGAGUUAUGACAUAAAAGCCAGUACAAAUGUGUGUAGCUUUCUCUAGUGGAGAGUAGAGCUGUCAAAAUAGGUAAUUCGACUCGAUCCGGCCUGAUCCAUCACGGGUUGGUUACUUAGUGAGCCAACCCAACUCGGCUCACUUAUAGGCGAGCUGAAAAAAUUCGAAUCCAGUUUGAUCCACCACAGAUUGGUAUGUUAAACGGGUUGGCUCACUGACUCAUUUAAUUAUAAGUUUUUUUUAAAAUAAAAAAAAAUCAUUUUUUUUAAUUCAAAUCUAAAUACACACCACACUAAAAUCAUGUUAAACUCCAAAGACAAUUCAAAAUAAAUAAAAAAGUAUCAUACAAUCCAAGCAUAAUCCAAAAACAUGUACAAAAGGCGAACAAAUAAGUUUUUAAUAUUGACAAUUUUUGUAUGACUUGUUCGUUUAUAAUAUUAGAAUCUUGAAUAUAUAAUAUUUUUCUCUCUUGAAACAUAUUUAUCAUCAUCUAUAAUAUAAUCAAAAAAAUGUUAAUUAAUAAUAUUGAAACAUAAAAUAAUAAAUAAUUAAAUUAAAUUAGGUGGAUUGACGAGCUAACCUGGCUCCCCACGAGUUUAACCAGUGAGUUAGGUUCUAAGUGAACUAGAUUGAUCUACAUAAAAAAAUUAUAUUUUUUUCAAACCGAAUCCAGAUUAAAUUCGUGAUGAGUGGGAUUGGUAUGAAAUUACAAAGCAUUUUGAAAAUAGUAGUGAAGAAACAUAAUUCAUUCUCAUUACUAAAUCAUUAAAGAUUUAUUAUAGGUGAAACAAAUUAUUGUGAAUACUUUGGUCUUUCUUAAAAAAGAUAUCUAUUAUUAGUCAGAUUGUUAUUAUCUUCUCAUAUUUUUAUUAUUUUGUAUUUCUCUUAUAAUUUUAUAAGUUUAGAGAGUGUAUUAACUUUAUUAUUUUAAUCUAUUCAACAUUAAUAUUAUAUUUUACCUACUAUAAUGUUUUGACCAAGUGUUAUUUAUUUAUAUAAUGUCUUCUAUUUUUAUUUUUUAAAAGUUAAAUCUGUUUUAUGAUUACAUGAUCUCUAUAUGGAAAAACAAGUUAUUUGAUGAAGUUGAUGUUUUAAAUAGACUAAAUAAUUUGACCUAGUCUUAUAUUAGACUAAAUGAAUAUUACCUUGAUCUGAUUUUAAAAAGUAAAAAAUAAUUGUAAAUCUGAAAAGUUGAAAAAUACUUUAUUUAUUUAAAUCUAAGUCAUAUUAAUGAAAUUAGUUUUAAAUUUUAGUUACAAUAAUUUAAUACAUAAAUUUUAUGUAUUAAAAUAAUAUUAUUUUUAACAUUUUAAAAUUACCCUUAUCACUUUUAAAAACACAUUUGUUAAUAAAUUUUAGGACAAAAUUCAAACCUUAUCCAUUCUAUCUUGAUUUUUUAAUAUUUUCUUUCUAUUAUAUCUUCAAAAUAUAUUAAUUUUAAUAUGUUAAAAAACUUUAUAAUAAAUUUUAAAACAUUAAAAUCAAUAUACACAUAUUUUGAAAUUAUGAUUAAAAAUAACAAUAAAAAUCUAAUAGAGAAAGUGUAAAUCUAGUUAGUUAAAUUCCAAAUUAGAUAAACCCGGAAAAAAUAACCUAUUUUUAUUUAAGUAAAUAGAAACACUUUUAUUUUUUACUCUAAAUCCAAUUUACAAGUUAUUCAAGAUAUUUCAAGCAUUCCUAUUUUUCUCAACUCUAAUUAUCUCUUUCCCAAAACAAAUCAAGUAUUUAAAACUCAUUCAACGUGUUCUUCCACCUCAAAUCAAAUAUGUUCUUAAUUUUAUCAAUUGUUGAAAACUCACAUCAAUUAAAGAUAAAAUUUUUAUAAUAUAUAAGUAAAAUACAAAUUUUAUUUUACAAACCGAUUUUGAGGAAUUAAGUUAGACUUAAACUCACUUUUGUAUAUAUUCUUCGUGCAUCUUACUUGUUAACUUUGUUCGUGCAUUUUACUUGCUAACUUUGUUCCUACAUUUUACUUGCUAACUUUUGUUCAGCCCUAUAUAGAAAUUAAAUUAGAAUAAAUUCAAGUGUUUCAGCAUAAACUCUUUCUUCCUCUAUUUCUCACCCAUUCCCAACAAUGGAAAUUGUUAUUUUUAUUUAUAAUAAUUAAGAUUAUGACUAUAUAUUAAUAAAAACACACUCAAAAUUUGCUAUUGGUUUGUUCCAGGGUUGUCCAGCCUUAAAAAAAUGAUUCUUUUAAAUUAAAAAGUAAAUUAAGAGAUGAAACUUCAAAUUAAUGUAAUUCAUGUAAACUCUCUUAUUAAUAUAUACAUAUAGAGAGAAUAUGUAUAGACAUAGAUAUAAAUAUAUGCAUACCUCUUGUUUUUGUGACUUUGGACCAGAAGAUGAAAAUUGCAGAGGCUUCUUCUAUGCAACCUGUGUUCUCAAGUAAUGAGAAAGAAAGAAGAAAACCAAAAAUCAAAGCCUUUCCUUUAUCUCAAAUUUAUUAUAAAUUAAUUUGUAUUGAAUAUAUUGGAAAGAUCGAAUUUAUAAAUCAAUAAAACAAAACCCUUGACUUAUAAGGUCCUGCCGGCGCCAAGACAACAUGACAAAUGCUUAUGGAAACAAUUUUGCAUAUUUAAAAUAUCAAAAAGUAAAAAAUCUAUUAUGAUGAAUUAAAUAUAUAUAUAUAUGUAUAUAAUCAGCUAUGUUUAAUUAGAAGAAAACUCGGUUAUGUCUAUUAAGAAGAAAAAUCUGGCAUGUUUUAGUAAAAAUAAAGCAAAAUUCUCCACAAAUCAAAUUAAUUAAUUAAUAAAAAAAUUCAUAUACUCUUUUUAAUUUUCUGUGUAUAGAUUAAAUUUAACUAUGAAGACAUUUACUCGUUUUUUUUUUCUUUUUCUUUUCUCUUCUAUGGCUUAAUAUCACCCUUUAAAGAAACAUUCAAAAUUGAUGGAAUCUUUUCUGCACAGCUAACUAACAUGGAGAAAAAUAUUAGAGUAGCUCUUUUGAUAACCUUGAUCCAGUUGUAACCCUAAUGAAACAUUACAGAGAGCAUAAAUAAUUUAAAAAAUUAUGAUAUUUUAACAAUAUUUUUUAACAAUUUUUUUAUAACAGGAUACGUAUCAUCGUUUUAUUAGUCUAUUUAAAUUUACUUUUAAAAAAUAAUUAAGAUAGACUAAUUACAAAUUAUCACGUUUGUAAAAAAAUUAUGAAAAAAAAUUAUUAAAAUAAUUUUUUCCUAAUUUAAAAUAGGUGAUAGGAAAGGGACAUGAAAAUGUGAAAAUAAUGUGUAUUUCUUUGUUUGUAGUGAGUGAGUAACAGGUCAUUUUCUUGUUGAGUUGAGGUUUCAAAGGCUUUGCUUCCCUUAUAUUUGGACAUAUCAUUUCUUCUGUCCUCCUAAGGAUCAUUUGUCUGCACAAUUAUCAGUUUGCCAAAUGCUGAUUUUUUUUAUAAAGAAAAUUCAAAAUUAUUUUAAUACCGAAAUACAACACAUGAUUAAACAUAAAUAAGAUAUUGUGCCUUUUAAAUUAAGUCUUUAAAUUAUGUGUAUAUAAUAAAUUUAUGAUUUUCUUUUGUUUUUAUUUUAAAUGAAACUUUGUUUUGUAUCUUAAAAAAUUAAGUAAAAUUUAAUAACUCAUUAAUAUUUAUAUACUAUGUAGAAGUCAAGCACUUAUCAAAUUAGUACUUUCUUAUGCAUGCUUAUUUUAAGAUUGAUGAGUCUUAAUUACACUUUGCUUCCAUAUUAUUGCUGUGUAGUCUUGAAAAAGUACUGGUGUAUAUAAAUAAGAUUUAAAAUAUUUGAACAGGACAUAAGCAACUGCAAAAGAACUUCAAUUUCUAUUAUACAUUUUCCACCUACAUGGUAAUGUCUCCUUGUGCACUUCUACAUGUAAAAGUAGAAGUGAAAGGUGUCAUCUAUUCUUUAUUUCUGUAUAUACUUUCUCAUAAUGAAAAUUUACAGAUUUAUAAAUAAACAUAAAAAUAUCUGUACAGACCAUGAGCAAUUUCAGAAGAACUUGGAUAAUAUUGUACAUUUCUAAUCACUUUGAUAGGAGGAGUUAACAAUGUUCCCUUUGCAUUUUUAUCAACAAGAAUUGAAGAUAAAGGCUCCAGAAUCCUUUAUUUCUGUGACGAUGUUCCUUGAAAAGUGUUUCCAAAUGGUAUGUAUGAUCUCUAUGUCUGGAUAGUGUCACUUGGAGGGUCAACUGUGAUCCAAAGGAGUGCAAUGGUAAUGGAGAGAAUUCCUGCCCAGACAUAAAUAAUUGUGGGCACCCUUCCUCUCUUUCCCAUCAACCCUUUAGCAAAAGGGUACAUAUGAGAGAGUACCCAGAAGCUGAAGAACAUGCUUCCCAAGAGCUUAUUCCACUGUGGAAUCACACUGAACACAGUCCUUAAGAACCCCAUCACCAAAGCAAUUAUGUUAAUGAUGAUAAUUGUUAGUGGCAUGAUGAAGAGACUUGUCCAUUUCACAAUGUAAAGAUCCGCAUAUUCAUCGUCAUCUUCAUCACCUGCUGACUUAGAGGUUAAGGUAAAGGAAAUCUCUAUGCCAGCCACAACCUUUAGCAAACCUUGUAUGACAGCAACAAGGUGAGCACUGGUGCCACCAAUCACCCAAAACUGCUCAUUUCGCCACCAUUCCUCAAGGGCAAUGCCUGACCAUUUCACUUCAAGGAGGGAUAUCAGAGUGAGGCAAAUGGUGAUGAGCAACAAAUAGGUUAAGAAAGCCACAUUCAAGCCUUCCACUAUGAACUGCCCAGAGAAAAGGGAGAGUGCAGGAAUGAAGCAAUACACCACCAAAAACAAUGAGGUGAAUGGGUAGAUGCCAACAUUCAGGUACGAAAUUCUCUGCAAGAACUUGAGGCGCCUGCUAGCGAAAAAAGCAUUGUUUCUUGAGAAGAAAAUCUCCACAGAACCUGUGGCCCAUCUCAGCACUUGAUGCAGACGAUCUGUUAAGUUUAUUGGUGCAGUUCCACGAAAAGCAUCUCUCUUUGUAAUGCAAUAAAUUGAUCUCCAACCACGGUUGUGCAUCCUGUAACCAGUCACCACAUCCUCAGUUACUGACCCGUAAAUCCAACCUACCCUGUCCCCCCAUUCAGUCUUGUCCUCAUACCUGCAUUUUGCAUCAUAUCAUCAAAGGAAAAAGAGAAUAAGUUAAUUUUGACUAAUACACAAACAUGUCUGUGAUGGUAACAGUGAAGCAAAUUACCAGCAUGAGAUGACAGCAAUGGCCUCAGCAACGGUGGGGGCAUCCAAAGGUGGACGUGGUGUGAGAAGUGCCCCAGGUGGUCUUCCAUUCUUCACAGAUUUGUGAUCAGCAAGUGGCCUUCCGUUGUAUUCAGCCACAGUUAUGGAAUCUGUGAACAUUGUUGAGCUUCCAAAUUUUUCUGGAUAACCCAUUUCUGAAUCAGAUGUUAGGGGUUGCGUGUCAUCUUCAACUUUUGCAUGUGGUGCUCUAAGGUUAACCUUUGUUUUCACUCUUCCAAACACACCAGUGUGCUCAAUGAAUCUCGGUGGUUCAAAUCCAUACAAUGCAUACCUCCUGAACAUGCAACCUGUUCCUACAUACAUUGGACCUUGGAGACCAUCCAGUGCUCUCAUAUUUCCUGAUGAAUUACACAUUGUUAAAUACAAAUACAUCCUAAUAAAGGAAAGGAAAUCAUGGCAAGUGACAAAUCAUUAUGAUCUUGUAAGAACUAUAACUUAUUCAAAUUUUAAAAGAACUAUAUUAGAGAAUUUCUUUAUGGAAAAGUCUAUCUAAACUUAAUGGUUUGCUUCAAAUGAAUAAUGGAUAGCAAGAUAUAUGUGACAGGGUUGUUUUUACCAUCAAAGAAGACUGUGUUGUGAUUUGCAUAUCGAUCAGAAGGAUCAAUCCCUUCAAACCUUUGCGGAAACUGUAUGUAACAUACGCGAUCACCACCACGGUCCAUCAUGAAGCACAUUCCCUCCUUCACAGCAAGGGAAUUGUAGAAGUAGUGGUCACAAUCCAAGUUGAGAAUGAAUGGUCCAUUAGACAAUAUGGCUGAGGCUCGAACCAUAGCAUUCAUUGCUCCUGCUUUCUUGUUAUGAUCAUACCCUGGUCUCUUCUCUCUUGAGACAUAUGCAAACAUUGGAAUCCUGAUGUCUACACCUGUGAAAUCUAACUUUGUCUCAUCUUCAAUGCCCAUUACAGGAUCAUGAUCUGGGACCUUACUCAUUAUCUGUAUAUAAUAAACAUGCACAUUCAGUAUUAAUUCUCUAUGACCAACUCCAUCUAAUCAAGUUAAUCUGAAUACAAAGUACAUAGAAGAAAGAAGGUUUAACUACGUUUUACUUAUAGUCUUUCUCAAAUUUUGUUUUUGUUUCUAUGAUUACAAAUUUAGUGCUGAAUCUAUGUAGUUUCUUAAUUUCUACUAGAGAAUUGGCCCUACUAUCAUGUUUACAUGUGCUUUGGCUUUGGUUGCUGAAUCUGGACCAUGAAAGAAACUAUAGAAACUUGAAAUCAAACCUCUUAAAGUGUAUAAAUCAAUCCUGAAGUUAAAAAAAAAAUAUUUGAACUAUGAUUUCUUCGGUCCAUCUAUUUGACAGAUUUUCUUUCAAUUCUUUUGAAAAAUACUGUUAACUAUUUUGGCAUGGGUAAGGUAAAUAAUAACAAGCCAAUGAUAUCAUGCCAUCAUAUAGCUAAUUUCAUACUUGUUAAAAUUUAUCAGAAUCAAAACUAACAAGUGCAAACUUAAUAUGAUUAAAAUCAAAUUUCACCCAAUUUCAAUUGAAUUCAAACACUGAAGCAGAAAAAAAGUAAGGACUACAUACCUGCAAGAUUCCAGCAUGGUCACCCUUAGAGUGAUCAGGUGUAGGGCUAUACCAAGUACCUGGCCAUUGAGUGCCAUCAGCCAUCCAUGUAGCUUGAGGGACAUCACUGGUGUAAUCUGAUGGUAGAGUUCCUCCAUUUUUCUCCUUAGCUAUCUGCUUUGCUUUUUUUUCCUCUUUAGAGUUGUGUGUUUUACUUCUUUGACGUAUUACCUCAGGAAGUCCAUUGAUUCUGACCUUAAAUUCAUCAUACUCUCUCUUGAUCCAUCUACGGUCUUUCACAAAAUCGUGUCGUUUCUUGUUCUUGGUGGGGUCUUUCUUCAAAUUGAAGUAAGCAUCGGGAUUCCUAGGUUCAAUGUUGUGUUUUCUACAAAAGGGUACCCAAACCUGUGUAUAUGCAUAUCAAGAACAUAGUUCAUGUUAUCUCAUAAUUAACCUAAAUUGAAUAAAAACUUGUUUGGUCAUGUUUGAUAUAACAUCCUUAAUUCAAAAUUUUAUGACAUAUUGUUGCUAUCCAAUCCAAUAGACAUAUUAAAGAGUAUAAUUUAACAAGGUUGUUUAAACUUUUUCAUUAUGGAACAUCCCAAACAUACACCUAUUUGGGUCAUACUCACAUAUUCUAACUAAAUCUCGAUAGUUUGGUGUAUGACGAUUAUUAUUUAUCAAUAUGUUAUUAUUUACUCCAAUGUUAUCAUACUCUUUAGGUAAGUAUUAUUUCCAUAGGAACAUAGGUUCACGGUUCAUGUUGAUUUUAUAAAUACAACUAAUAUUCUUCAAGGAAUACCAACUUGAUAAACAUUGAUACACUCAAAAUUUACAAUGAUCCUAACUCUUUUACUGACUUGAGCGUUAGAGAAUCUUUUGUAAGUGGAUCUUCCUCUCCCAUCUUAAUAGCUAGGAGGUCUUUUCGAGAUGACGAGAGCUCUAAAACCCAUUGUUAGGAUCUUGUCACCUGUCUACAAGUCCACACUCAAGAUUCUGGUAAAUCAUUUGGCGUCCACCUUAGGCCCUGAUAAAACAUUUCCUGGCCUCACCUCCCUAUUGUCACCACUUGAAGAUCUGCACAACUCUCUCACAGAAGUGAACUAGGUUGCCACCUUUCAACAACAAGUGCAGAUGCUCAUACAACAUAAUAAUGAAAAAUGCAGGCAACAUGACAUUUAAGCUUGAGGCCCUAUGCACCCACCAACAAACAAACUCACAGGAGCAUCAACUAAGGCUGACUAGCCCCAAGAACGAGAGGUCAUCUCUGAAGCCUCUCCUUGACCCCCGGGAACAUGACCUCUAGAAUUCCUGGACAAGAGACAGUCGGAGUUGCUACCCUCAACGCCGAGCUCAAGGAGAUCGAAGCAGGUCGGCUAUCAUGGAGCAGAAGGAACCCAAUGACCACGAUCGAAGACACUGAAGCAGGUCACCCGAAGUAGAACAGAAGAAAGCCGCAGACGCUCUGUCCAACCCGAACAGUAGCUCGGCAUGCACAAAUAUCGCAACCUAGAUGUGAAAUCAAUGGAGUCUCAAGAUUCCACAAGGCAAUCAAGCAGGCAGAUAGGUCAACAUGAACGUCGAGCUACCUGAAAACACGCUAGAGAUUCCUCAAAACCACCCUUAGGAUCUUGUUACGUGUCCGGAAGUUCACGCUCAAGAUCCCGACAAGAUCACGUACUAUUAUAGUUACAAAAGAAUUACAACUAAAGGACAUCUCUAUAUAUAUUUGUCUGAUUUCCUUUUCUUUUUUUAUUUUAUAAAAACUCUAGCCAAACUAGGGUGGCUUUAGUUUAUGAGAUUUGUUAGAAAUCUCACAUCGACUAGAAAUAAUGUCAAUUUAGAAUAUAUAUAAGUGGUUAUAAACCUCACCUUACAAGUCGUAUUUGUUGGGUUAAGUUAGGUUUAAAGUUUAGACAUCAAAGUCAUGCAUUAAGGCUUAUUUUAGUGAGAUUUCUUAUUUGUUGGACAUAUUAUUCUAUCCGUUAUCGAAUCAUCCAUUAAUGUCUAUCCCAUACUCGAGAUGUAUAUACCUCGAUCUCAGGAAUGUAUUGGAAUAUAAGUCAUCUUAUUCUUUGUCGGGAAGGUACACCCACACAUGAAACCUAAUAUCAAAUAGAUCAAUUCAUCACCUAAAUUAUCUUUAUUUUUUAUCCCAAAUCUUCUCGUUCUAAAUUUUAAAUCUUUGAAAUACCAACUUCGACCUUGCAAAGCUGCAAAAAUACUAUAUUAUAAAGUAGAAAAGUUUACAUCCAUCCUUAAUUAAAAAUUUGUUUACUUGAGUGGAUUUGAGGGAAAGUAAUUGAAAUGAUUUGAGAGGAUUUAAAGAUAUUUUUUGUUGUUGUUUAUUUGAAUAGAUUUGGAGGUAAGUGAGAGUAGAUUUGGAACUAAAAUUUGUCAAAAUUAGUGUAAGAUUUAAUUUAUAUGACAGAUUAAAAAAAUUUACUUCAAAACUCAUUCUCACUUACCUCCAAAUUUAUUCAAAUAAACAACAAAAAAAAUUAUCACCAAAUUCUCUCAAAUCCUCUCAAUUAACAUCCUUCAAAUCCACUCAAGUGAACAAGACCUAAAUGAUGGAAGUUUAUUUCAAGUUAGCAUCAUUUCGUACUUUAGACAUUUCCUGACAUGAGAGGAAUCAAAGCUUCUUGGAUGUUGAAGUUUUGAAAAUGAAAAUACAUUUUACUAAAAAUGGUUAGAAAAGAAAAAUUGUUUUGAAAAAAAAGGAGUAAAUAAACCGUGCAGAAACCAAAAUGUAAACUGACCUCAGCAAAUUUGACAGCUUCAGCCAUGGCUUCAAAUGUGAGUAUGGCUCCACCAUCAUCUGAAAUGUAGCAUGAUAUUUUUUCAAUUGGAUAGUUUACACCAAGAAUGGAAAGAAUGGUGUUGGCUGUGACAAGAGGUGGUUCCUUUUCAGCAUCAGCAGUGGACACAAAAACAUCAACCCCUGGUAAGUCUGAGCGACCAGUUGGGUUGGAAGCAGUUGGUUGAUCAAACUUGUCAUGCAAUGCACCAAGGUCUACACUUCUGUUUAUUGGGUUCAUUUUGGGUAAGAUAUCAAGAAGCCAAGAGAAAGCAAACCAAAGCUCACACACAAUUGAUAUUCCCCACAACCACAUAGCUUCAUGGUUAGGGUUCGAAACUCGCCAAGUUAAGAACAUAACUAGGAUUACUAUACGGAUAACCACCAACAACCUGUUCACAUAACAAAAAACAAUUCAUAUUGCAGAAACUAAAGUGCAGCAAUUGCUGAUACCGUGUCAUUUACAAAACUAGUUUGAAGUAGUAGACUUAAUUAAUAUCACAUACAGUUAGAAAAAGGUGAUUUAAAUUGGAAUAGAAUGUCAGAAAAUGGAAAUUAUCAAAAGUCUCCAUCCCACAAGUUCCUAUAAGAUUAUAAUUAUAAAAAAGGUUAAAUUAUUAGUAUAUGAUUCUUUCAAUUCCCUCUAUUUUAAUGUUUUUUAUUCCAUGCACGAGAAAAUUAUAGGUCUUAAUGUCCAGACCUGCAUAGCAGUUCAGUUUUGAUCCUUGCUGAUAACACCAAGUAACAAUUUUUACCAACAAACUAAACUUAUAUAUAGUUCCUCUGUCAUGUAAAUGAAUGUAAGGACUCUAAAAGGUUCCAAUGUUUCUUACAAAUUAAGGUCUAAGAGUUAAAAAUGAGACACCUAUAAGAAUCAAAUAAAUAGCAUAUAAAAUCUUCUGGAAAAACAAAAGAAACAUCAUGCAUGUCUCGAAUAUCGUAACAGCACAACAUGCUCCUGUGGUAACCUAAAGAAUGAGAAACAUGUGAAGACACAAUCUGCUGGUAUGAUGAAAAAUGGUAUAUAUAUAUAUAUGAUUGAUGUAUACCUGUAAGGGCUAAGUAUAGCCCCAGGGAUUCUAAUCUUCCGAGUUAGUGGUUUCCAAGGCUUGUCCAUGAAAUCUGCCAUGCUCACUCCUUCUUCAAAAGUGUUCUGAUCUUCCUGCCAAAAUGCAUUCCCUAUGCCAUAAGUCCCUUUGGUCUCAAACAACCAUCGGUUGUGAUCAAAAUCUUGAGUUUGGCUCCUCAACAGCAUGGACUUGCUAUUCCCUGAAUUCAACCCAUGCCUUUCCUGCUGAGAUUCUGCAGCAAACCUUGAGGUCCCAGUUGCAGCACCAUCUACCUUGGAAUCAGAGGCUCCAGGUUGGUUAUCUGGGGUGGGAGGCAUCAUCACAGUGUAAUUGAUGUAGUCAUUUGAGCCUGAAUUAUCACCAGACAUGUCAUUGUCAUCAUCUCUUGAAAGGCUCAUAGUCCUCCCACUUGAAGUACGUUUUGUAAAUUUCACUCCUUGCUGUUGCUUUGCACCCGCAGAGGAUGAUUUGUUUGAAGAAUUUGAUGAACCUUUCAUCUCUGCCAAUGUUUUUCUCUCACAUUUAAGUGUUUGAUCUCCGCCAAUGCACUUGUCUUCUUUUCUUUUGUUAUAAUUGUACGUGGAGAAUUAUGGGAACACCAGUUUCCAUGUAUGCCUGCAUGCAACCGUGAAAGAGGUUAAUCAGAUUGGCUGAGAAAUGCAAAAGCAUGAAGGAACAUUGUUCUUGGAGGAGAGAAAUCUCAUGGCUCCAUAAUGGCUUCUGUGAGAUUUUUGCAUGCCAUAUGAAAUUCUAGCUUUUGGGAUGCAUGUCAUAGCCCCUUAAUUUGUGCUCAACCUCUAUCACUAUCUCCAUUUUCUCUUUCCUCUACUGGUUAGGUUGUUUAGCACAAACACAAAUUUUCUCAAAUUUUGCAUCACAAAAAUUUUAACAGUCUCUUGAAAAGGAAAACAUGUGUCAUAUACACAAAACUACAUAGUUACUUCUACCAACCUACAACAUUUUCAUCGUUUAAAUUACGAAUUGUUAUACAUUUGUGUGCAAUGGUUUUUAAAAGAUACAUGUAAACAAACAAAAUUAAACUUAUCCAAAUUUUUUAUCAUGAGAUAUAUAAAAGAAUAUUGCUAUCUGUUCUUUAUUUAACCGAUAAUGGUGGAAUGAUAUAUAGAAUGUAUAAAUUCAAACAAAAAUAUAGUAAAUAAAUAUUAAGAGUUAAAUAUGUUUUUGGUCCCUUAACUUUUAAUGAAAAUUGAAAUUAAUCUCUCUUAAAAACUUUGGCUUAAUUUAGUCUCCUAACUUUAAAAAUGUAUGAAUUUAGUUCUUUUAACUAAAUUUUGUUAGAUUUAUUUGAUGUUUCAAGUACGUUUCAUUAUAGCAUUUGGAUUGUUUACACUGGUUAAUUGAGAAACUCGUUUGAAACAUCAAAUAAAGUUAACAAAAUUUGGGUAGAAGGACUAAAUUCAUGCAUUUUUAAAGUUGGGAGACUAAAUUAGGCCAAAAAUUUUGAAGAGGGACAAAUUCCAAUUUUCAAAUAAAAAUUAAGAGAUAAAAAACAUACUUAACCCUAAAUAUUAAUAAACAUUUAAAGUUGUUUAGUAUGUUUUUAUUAAUUUAUCUUUAUGCUCAAAAUAAAUUGAAUGCAUAAUCUACAUUUAAUUGAAGAAAAUAAAAAACAAUGUUAUUAAUGUGGCGUAAAAAAAGUUUGAUGCACUGUUGCUUUAAAAUAAGCGAUUAAAUUAAGGUUAUUUAUUUAAAUAGUUUGACACGUUAUUUAUUUAUUUUUAUUAAAUAAAAAAGGAUUAUUAGCACUAGUCUAAAAUGUAAGCAUUGCUAAAUAUAUAUUUUAGAAAUUAAACUGAGAAAAUAAUGUAAAUCUAGUUAUACCAUGCAUUAUCAUACACCUACAUUUGAUGUUCAUAAAUAAAAAAGUUAAAACUUUUAUAUGAACUUAUAUGUCACUUUGACAUGUAAAGAGUUACAACCUUGGUAUGAAGAGGUAAGUAGUUAUGUUUUUGCAACGUCAUGCGUUAGUUAAUCAUUUGUAUGUCCUUUAGGUUAGAAGUGAGUUUUAGGCCUAACUCAACCCCACAAAACCGGCUUGUAAGGUGAAGUUUGCACCUCACUUAUAUAUUAUAAAUUGGCUUUAUCUCUAUCCAAUGUGGGACUUCCAACACACCCCCCUCACGCCGAUGUAUAUACAUAUCGAGCGUGAGACUAGAUAUUAAUGGGUGGUCCGAUAACGGCCCAAUAGCGGGUGGAACAAUCUGCCCAACAAAUAUCGCUAAGAUAGGCUCUAACCAUAGCUCUGAUACCAUGUUAGAAUGGGUUCUAGGCCUAACUCAACCCCACAAAAUCGGCUUGUAAGGUGAGGUCUGCACUCCACUUAUAUAUUAUAAAUUGGCCUUAUCUCUAUCCGAUGUGGGACUUCCAACACACCCCUUUCACGUCGAGGUAUAGACAUCUCGUGCGUGAUAGUAGAAAUUGGGUGGUCCAAUACUGGCCCGACAACGGGUGGAAUAGAAAGAGAAAUGCUCACUUAUAACUCGCUAGGAUCUGCCAAAGCUUCCUGUACAUUACUAGGAAUAGAAAUUGAAGAUAAUUGAGAUACAAAUUAUGCAUAUGAUUGAGAUAACCUGUGAGAUGACACAUAUUUACUAAUGGGAUAUUUAACUUAGGCUUAGAGGUCUGGUUCAUAUUUAGCUAGAGGUUGACCAUGGUUAGAACGAGGUGGAAGAUUAUAUUGAACAGUAGUAGACUCAGUGUUUGGUGUGUUGGUGGUUUCAGGCAGACAAGAAUCAAUUUCAUUUAAAUUAGUAUUAUCAGAGAUAGGAUCAGAAGGUACCUCUGAAGAGUCAAGUUAAACCUGUGAAGAAGAUUGAGCCAAUUGGUUAUGAUCAGAAGACAUUGUAUUAUCCAAAAAAGAAGUGUCCAUAUUUAGGAUUGGCUCACUUGCUGCAGAAUGAUCCUCACACGAUAAUAUAUAUAAUCAAACAUACUAACAUCAUGAUUAUGCACUUCACUUUCAUUGCCUCCCUGAAGUGCAGAAUCAACAUAAAAAAAUUCAUGCUCAUUAAAUGUCACAUCCAUAGAAAUAUANAAUUUCUUNNAUGGUGGAUGGUAAGCACGAUAACCUUUUUGAGUUGUUCCAUACCCAACAAAAACACAUUUGAUCGCUCGUUCUUCGAGCUUUGUACGUUGAUGUGGGUAUAAGUGAACAUAUAUAACACAUCCAAAAAUAUGAGGUGGUAAAUAAACUAUGGGAGGAAGGAUACAAUGAUCAGACAACACAUCAAAAGGCCUUUGAUAGUUAAGCACACUUGAAGGGGUUCGAUUAAUUAAAUAAACGGCAAAGCUCACAGCCUCACCCCAUAAAUGAGAUGGGACAUUACCAUCUAUCAAAAGUGAUCUAGUCACCUCUAAUAUAUGUCUAUUUUUCCUCUCAGCCAAUCCAUUUUGUUGUGGUGAAUAAGGACAUGUAGUUUGAUGCAAGAUGCCUUUAGAGUUCAUGAACUCUAUUAAUUCAGUCUUAAAAUAUUCCCCUCCAUUGUCUGAUCGAAUAACCUUAAUAAAUGUGUUAAAUUGUGUAACAAUCAUAUNNNNNNNNNNNNNNNNNNNNNNNNNNNNNNNNNNNNNNNNNNNNNNNNNNNNNNNNNNNNNNNNNNNNNNNNNNNNNNNNNNNNNNNNNNNNNNNNNNNNNNNNNNNNNNNNNNNNNNNNNNNNNNNNNNNNNNNNNNNNNNNNNNNNNNNNNNNNNNNNNNNNNNNNNNNNNNNNNNNNNNNNNNNNNNNNNNNNNNNNNNNNNNNNNNNNNNNNNNNNNNNNNNNNNNNNNNNNNNNNNNNNNNNNNNNNNNNNNNNNNNNNNNNNNNNNNNNNNNNNNNNNNNNNNNNNNNNUUUUGUCGUGAGACAUUUUCCAGAUAAUACAGUCCUUCACUCUCUCUACCACUGGAAAUCUUCUCCUUGGAAUGGAUGUUCUGAAAAAGACAAUGGGUUGGGUAAAACAAGGCAACACAAGAAUGUGAUUUUGUUAACUUGCUGACGGAGAUAAGAUUACAGUUUAAUGUAGGAACAAAUAAGACAUCAAGAAUUGAUAAGGAGGGUGAGAGGGAUAUAGUACUUAUACCUUCAAUAGGAGAUGAGACCCCAUUGGCAUUAAUAAUAACACUUUUAAAACAAUUAGAGGAAAAACUAGUAAAUAUAUGAGGAUCACAAGUCAUAUGAUCAGUAGCACCUGAGUCAAUUAUCCAAUCACUACCCUUAGUAACAACAGAAAGAUUAAAAGCAGAGUUAGAUAGACCUGACUUGGCCACAAAUCCAGCAGCAGUAGAAAUAUAACUCUUGGAAGCAGCGGAAGUUCCAGAAUUAUGUUUCUCCGAUUGAUUGUCAUCGGGAAUUAUGUUUCUCCGAUUGAUUGUCAUCGAAAGAAGCCAUCAGAAAUAUUCAAUGAAAAAAAGCACUGAUUCCUAUAUUGUAGGGGAUAUCAGUGUUUGGCUCUUGAUACCAUGUUAGAAGUGAGUUUUAGGCCUAACUCAACCCCACAAAAUCGGCUUGUAAGGUGAGGUCUGCGCCCCACUUAUAUAUUAUAAAUUGGCUUUAUCUCUAUCCGAUGUGGGACUUCCAACACUUUCUACUUCUUUCAUACAUACAUGCCUCUUUUAGAACAUUACAGGACAUUUUAAAAUGGAUAAUGAUACUAAGAUAACAUUUUUUUUGACAAUAUUUGAAUAUCAUCUACGUAUCAUUCUGUGAUAGGUCCAUAGUGGUGUUUAUGAUUAUUAUUAUUAUUGAUUAUAGAGUAAUUUUGGACCAAUUACAGAAUGACACGUAGAUGAUAUUGAAAUGUUGUCAAAAAAAUGUUAUUUAAGUAUCAUUAUUCUUCCAAAAUGUACAAUUUACUGUAUUUUCUAAUUUCUUCUUCUAAACCUUAUCAUCUUUCCUUUCUUUGGUCAUGUUUUUUCAGAGACUCUUUGAAACUUCAUUCCUUUCAAAGCCUUAUCUUUCUCCUUAGAUUACUUAUCCUUCUAUCAUGUUCAUCAUCCUUCCUUUUAGGAGAGAAUUCGUCCACAAAAUUGCAAAAUCUACAUCAUAAGUAGACAAGUCAUUUACAUUAAAACUAUUACUUACGAUAUAAUCAUUAGGAAAAUUUAAUUUGUAUGCAUAACCUUUCUAGAACUUGGAAAUCUUUCCUAUUUUGGAGUUUUGACUUUCUUUUAUUAGAAAGUAUAUCAUUCCUAUAAAAUGUGGUCACACUUUACUUUUUUUGUUAGUUGACUUUGCAUAGUAGGUUGCCUUCUCUUUUAUUUCUUCAAACUUGGAUGGUAGAUCAUUCACUGAUUUUGCUUUCUUAGCCACACCAUUACAUUUGAUCGCCUCAUUAAUAGGAAGAAGUAACAAAUCAUUAAAGGUUAAAGGAUUAAACCCAUAAAAAAGCUCAAAAGGCAGACUAAGAAUUUAUGGUAUUUAUGACUAAUGAAAUCUUCAUAUACUCUUGAGAUUUUUAGAAAGCACUUAGUUUAACCAUUAUUUUUUAUAGUAGGGGUUGAGAAAAGAAGUUAAAUACUAGAUUUUCCCAAAAAGUCAUCCAAAAUCACUUAAAAUUUUAGUAUAUCUAUUAAAUACAAUGCUUUUAGGAAGCUCAUAAUCUUACUACUUCCUUGAAAAAUAAGCUAACCAUACAAAAAACAUCAUUCAUUUUUAUGGAAAAGUAUGGAAUUAACCAUUUUAGAAAGUCUAUCACCAUCACAAAAAAUUUAAUCAUAUAUGAUCUUGACAAUCUAGGUACAAAUCUUUAAGAUAUUUGACCAAGAAACAUGUGGAAUAAAAAUAGGGAUAUAAAAUUCAUGAGACAUAACUCUAUAUUUAACGUUCUUAAAAAAAAUACAUUUUUCAGAAAAAACUUUUAAACAUCCAUCUUUAAAUGUGGCCAAAAGAAAUGUUCAUUUACAACGUCUAAAGUUCUUAAAUAUUGAAAAUUUCUCAUAAAAUUCUCUCAUAAGCUUUUUUUUAUAAAUGGUUCUUUUAGAGAUCUUUGAGGUACACAAAGACAUUUAUUUUCAAAAAGAACUAAGGAAAAGUAGUCUUGCAAUUUUAGCAAAGUAACUUUAUAUUCAACUAAGUUCUAAAAAAUUACACAAGGCUCCCUCCCCUUUUAUAAGUGAAAAAGUAGGCUAGCAUUCAAUGAACUAAAAUGAAACUAGAAGCUUCAUAUGGCAAGGGGAGAGAUGAGAGUCUUCCCCCUAACUACUGUUCAAGUUCAAUGUCUAGGAUCUCCCUUGAUGUUGACAUGUUCUAAAGGCUUUCAAAACUUUUAAUGUUAAUGCAAAGAGUGCUCCUAAAAACCAAAGAAAUCUUUACUUAAAUGCUUUCAAAUAAUUUAAGUAUCACAGAGACUUAAAAGGAAAAAUAAAACAAUGUAUAAAAGGAAAGUAGAAAGGAAUUGAAUGCUAUGUAAACAAGUAAUGCUAACGACUUUAGGUGAAGAUACAAAUAACAAUUAAGAUCCACUUGAAACAUCUUCAAUUCUAAGAGUGAAAAAUUAACUAUUACAAAAGUUUAGCAAUGGAUAUGGAAUUGUACCAAAGACAUUUUCUUAAGACACCAAGCAAAUAGAAAAUGAAACCAAAAAAAUUAUAAAAACACAAAUGUUUUGUGAUACAAAACAACUAACAAAAGUGUACACACAUCCCUUAAAUCCUUGGUUUCUUCAAGUGUUUAACCUCUCCUUAUGUUCACUUCAAAUCUGUGUAAAAAAUCCUUCUUCUAAAGUCCAAAGAGAUGUUUCUUUUAGCCUUCUUUCAAGCUCUCAAAUAUUAAGACAAGAUCGUCUAUAAAACCGAACUGUCUAAACACUCUCAUAUGUUUUGAAGUUUAACCAACAACAUUAAACGAAAUGAGCGUAUAACAAUGUUAUACUUAGAAUAAUAAUAUAGCUAAAAUAUAAGUGGUUUGUCAAAAUGCUCUGAAAAACCAAAACACAUUAGGAAAGCCUUAGUAAAAACACAUAAGUAUGAACAGACGUACCACUAAACGAUUUCCCUAAUUAAUGCGUCAUUGAGAGUCAUGUUGAAUGCAACAAAUGUUUUACAUCACUAGGCAAUGAUCAAACAAACUCUUAAUAUAUCUUGAUAGAUAAAAGUGUCAAACAAUGUUUUUAGAAAGCACGCUAAAAGUCUCAAAUGAUAUUCCAAAAACUUAUGUUGAAAGACACCUUUCUAAAUGCAUUUUUUAUUAUAACAGAGAAAAACAUAAAUAAACGUUUACAUGGGCUAGAUGAUACCUUGUGUUAAACAAUCUACUUCAUUUAACAACAAAGUCUUCAUCAACUGCUUGGUAUCUUAGUGAAAAGCUGAAACGAUAAAAUCCUACCUGAAUGAUAGAAAAUGUAAAAGGUACUUUGUUGUUCUGAACAUGCGUUAAAUGUCAUUAAAUGCUCAACAUUUAAAAAUAACAAAAGUGAUAAGAGAAAAGACAUAUUUUUUGCAUGCAUAUCUAUUCUACUUUGUGCAAAUUGCCUAUUACACGCAUCCACCUGCUCCAUCCUAUACAAAUCAGAAGUGGACGUUAGAAACAAAGAAGACAUUCACAUAAUGUUCCCUUCAUAAAAAAGUUCUGCUAGAAAAAUCGUUCUACCUAUUUUUGUCAAAGUUCUAAAAAAGCAUGCAUGCUCUGACAAUUGACUUUAACUAAUGACUAUUACAUACGACAAGACUAAAAAUACUCAAAGAUCAAAGCAAAGUUCUGUUUAAUGGAUAUCUUUUUUAGAAGUCUUUAAAUAGAAGAUCACUCAAAAAGAGAAUCAAGAGAAUAACACAGAAAGAAAAGGCUCAAGCAAAUAACCUCAAGAAAAAGCUCAAAAGCACAAAAAAAAAAGAAUAUCUGAGAGAGAAAAGCUCAAGAAAAGAAAGACUCGCAAGAUUCAUUGAUAUAUAAGCUUACUAUUAUAAAAAGAAAGAAAUAUUUAGUGAGUAUUAGAUUGAAAUGUAUUGCACACAUAUCCUCUAUGUGAGAGUUGUCACUUAAGGACUUGUAACUAAUCUUUUAAAUUUUGAAGAGAAUUAAAGCAUUUUACGUUUAACUUUGAGGAGUUAAACGAUAGCUAUAUAAGUGUGUUUAGUGGAAACCAGGAGUGGAUGAAACUCUGAUGUUGAACUUGGUCAAGUUAAACGGUAGCUAGGUGAGUGUGUCUAGGGGAAACCAAGAGUGGGUAAAACUCAACUAGACAGUGCAUCAAGAAGAUACUGGAGUGUCUAGGGAUACCAAGAGUGGUAAAGAAUACUACGCAACCAGGAGUGAGUGAAACUCGGUACUAGUUAUAGUAACGAUGGUUACUUGGAGUGACUAGGGAUACCAAGAGUGGUGAGGAUACUCAAUUGUAAUCUUGUUGAAGAUUAUAGUGGAACCCUGUAUGGUGUUAGAGGGGACUAGGCGUAGCUCGAUGGAGCGAACCAGUAUAAAGACAAACUAUGUGUUCAUUGCUUUAUUCUUUAUUCACACUUCUCUUACAAAUCCUACAAUUAUACUUUAUUUUAAUAGAUAUAAAAACUUAUGCUACCACGACUUUUUAUUAAAGAGCUGGUUUUAUUAAAACACUACAACAAACAUUUUCAAACAAUUAAAAAACAUUUGCUAAACAAAAAUCAUUUUUUAAACUGAUCUUUAAGGUUGGGCGUUCAAUAACUUACGUAAACUUUUCAAUCAUUGACAAAACUGUUAAUUAUCUCCUUUAAGAAAAAUUUUCCUAUUAAUACUAUUCAACUCCCCCCUUUUAGUGUUUUUCCAAGUACUUCAAUCUUGUUGCAUAUUUUAGUGAAAAAACUUAGAGAAUCUACCUUAAACUAUCCUACCUAUUAUAAAAAGCUUUAUGCUUUCGUCUGGGCCCUCAAAAUAUGAAAGCAUUACUUAGUGACUAGUGAAUUUACUAUUCAUACAAAUCAUGAGUCACUUAAGUAUUUGAAAGGGUAAGGAAAGUUGAAUAAAAGACAUGGAAAGUUGAUGGAAUAUCUAGAAUAAUUCCUUUAUGUUAUCAAACAUAAGAAGGGAAGAAAUAAUGUUAUAACCGAUGCAUUGUUUAAGAGACACACAUUAUUAGUUUUCUUAGGAUCUCAAAUAAUAGGGUUUGAUGAGUUGUAUGAGCAUGAUGAAACAUUUGUGUCUACGUAUGUGUUAUGUCUUAAGAAACAUUUUGAUGAAUUUUAUCUUUUUAAUAAAGAAAAACUUUAUAUACCUCAAGGGUCCAUCAAGAAGGUUCUUAUCCAAGAAAGUCACGGAGGAGGUCUCAUGAGUCAUUAUAGGGUAAACCCUUACUCUUUUGAAAAACAAAUUUUAUUAGUCACACAUUAGAGUAAAUGUUUAGAAGCAUUGUUCUAUAUGCAUAACUUGUUAAUAAGAUAAGUCUAAAAUAAUGCAUCAUGGACUCUAUAUCCCUCUUUCGAUAAGAAGUACCCCUUAGGAGGACAUUAACAUGAAUUUUGUCCUAAGUUUACCAAGAAACUAAAGGGUAUAAGUGAACCCUAAUUUCACGAAAUACAAAUUCUCUCAAAAAAAAAUUUUAAUUUAAAAUAUCAAAAUCCACAUCAUUGUCCCACUUAAAAUAUUCUAAGUCUAUUAGGUAUUUUAACGAUAUAGAUCCAAUUGUAUCAAUUUUUCACGAUUAAGAAUCCAAUAAAGACAAAAAAAUAUUUGAAUAUUUUAAAAAAGUCAUAAGAAAAUAAAAACGUGUGAUUAAACUAUAAUAAAUAUGUCUUUGUCAUAGUGUAUCCAAAAUAUAUUUUAAAUUACAUAACUCAUAUAUAUAUAUAUAUAUAUAUAUAUAUAUAUAUAUAUAUAUAUAUAUAUAUAUAUAUAUAUAUAUAUAUGCAUAUCUUUUUUUUCAAAUUAUAUAUAGAUUGUUUUAACAUAAUUUUGUAAUUAUAAAUUAUAUAAUUUGAAAUAUAUUUUCAACUAAUAUAAUUAUUCUACAUUAUAUAAUUCAGGAGUAUUUUAAACUUGGUAGAAUAUAAUUUUGAAUUAAUUGAGAUGUUGUGAUAAAGAUAUAUUGAUAAUUUUAAAUAUUAAGGGGAGGGGGAGAAAUUCUUUUCUUAAACGACAAGUUAAUUAAAAAAUAAUAAACUUAUAUAAAAUAUACAUAAAUAUAUGUUUAAGACUUUAUUUAUAUAUAAAAUAUAUAAGUAUAUAUAAUUUUGUUCAACAAUCAAUUCUAUUAAACUUUUUUAUCAAUUUGUUAAACUUAGUCUUUAAAAGUAAACACUAAAAUAAUAUAUUUAGAUUGGAUU
rnacentral:lncRNA from 1 species